rnacentral:lncRNA from 1 species
GCGUGCCGCCCGCGCCGGCGCCCGUCACUGGCGCGGCUGCGGGUGCCGCGGCGUCGGCCCUCGCCGUGGCGUGCUCGGUCGUGCUCUCCAUCGUCGUCGCGGGUGGACUCAUGCAGUAGGUCCCGCUGCGGCCGUGGUGGCGGCGGUUCCCGGCGGAUUCGGGGUCAGGUUGGACCCUGCUUGUUUAUGCCUUAGCUAGUAGUAGUAGUGGUGGCAGUGAUGGAUGAUGGGUUGUGUGAUUGUUCCUGAUGAGUCGCCGUUGUGAUCUGUGUUAUUGCUUAUUCUUUUGUACCAUACCGCAUUGUUGGAUGUAUAUCUCUCCUGUUGAGGCGUGUGUUCUAUGAAUAAAGACGAUGGACCUCGUUCGCUCGUCAGGUGGCUUUCUUUGUUCGAGGUGUUCUCUUCAUAGCACUUGUAGACAACACACUACUUUGUGUUCUAUGCCUUGGAUACGGUUUUGGAGAGUACUGGGUAGUAACUAGGACCAGCAAGAGAUCUUUAAGCAGUUACACAACCAAAAGAUUCACUCUGAACCGUCUCGUCGGAACAUCUAACAUUUCGUCGACAAAGUUGAGAGAUGAGAGGUGUAUAUACACUGCCCCUCAAAAUAUGGGAGGAAAUGGGGCAAGUCGGAGAUCUAUUGUUCUACAGGACAGGUGCGUCGGUAACCAGAAAGAGGUGGCGGCGAAAUAGCUAUCGUGGCGAAGAGAGCACCCACGGGUUAACUGAACUUACCAUCUCUCGUCUUCAGUGACAGAGCCACCACCGUGAAGUCGCUUCAGAAUUCAGAUUUCCAGAACCAAGCUCAAAAUUAAUACUGGCUUGGAAAAACGGUAUACUAGACAUGCUGCAGAGCGUACGAGUAUGAUUUAGUUUGGUCACAACAACCAAUCAACUACCAACUGGACAGGAAGUGCUAGCAAGCUUCCAAUUGGCUCGAUUUGGACUGCUCCCUUCUAGAUGUCAUGAACAUUCAGCAGGAGAUAAAAUUCAGAAAUGACUGCCCUCUUUUCUGGAUGUUUUUUAAUAUUCAUUACAAAGCCAAAUCCAGCCAUUCAGGAAUGCCAUGUCUGGUCAAAGAACUCACUCCAACCAACUCAGCCUGUUUGGUGAAAGAUGCUACACGAACUGUGCACUUGAAGUAACGAUUGGGUUUUCCGUUUUCCCUAGACAUGCAGCCGAGUCAGUAGGUACGACAACCUGGGAAACAAGCAGGGUUUGUGAUCAGCUAGUAGCGUAAAAGCAAUAUAGCAUCGUAUAGGAAGCUUGGUAGGAUAUAGAACACCCACCUCAUAAGCCUGGCAAUCGCAGCACUUGCACCGUCAGCAUCAUUGUGAUUCAGUAAAGCGUCUUCCAAACGGCCAUCGCUGUAGGCAUGCUGAAAAAGAUGCAAUAUAAUUACAGGUGUGAGAACUAGGAUUCGUUCUAAGAAUAUUUUACCGAUGAAUUCAAAACAUAGAAGUACAUUCAUUAAGUAAUCUGAAUUAUUCAUUCACAUUAAAUAACUGGAAUUUCUUUGGAAUAGUGCAUAGCACCACCGGAAGACUCACAAGAUGCUAUUACUGCAACAGGAAACUCAUAUAGGACUAGGAACUAAAGUGAGCCCUUGUGGAGGGCCAUUAAGCAGUUCAUCAGGACAAACAGUAUAGUUUCUCUUCCAAGUUCUGAAGCGCUAUGACAGUCACUACUGGACGGUAUCAAUUAUCAGAAACAUGUGUUGUACCUUUGAUAUCAUUUUCUCGAAAUGAAAAUCUUCAGAUAUCAAAACGAAUGGGCAGAUGUCUUCAAUAAAUAAACAGAUAUUGUACUGUAUUAUGAAAUGGUAGCUGCUCAUUGUGGGCAUGCAGUUUGAAGGAGCACAGUUCAGCUUAAAAUUACGAUCGAAUUCAAGUACUGACAGCAAGCAGCUUAAAAUUGCAAAUUGCUAUAGAAGGUUCCACUUUCAAAUUACAAAGAUGUAUUGGCAACAAAACUGGCAUCGUUAACUGGAAAAUGUCACUUAUGAUAAGUUGAUUGUGUUUCACCCAAACAUGGGAAGACACAUAAUACUGCUCUGAAGCAUGUAACUGAACAAAAAGGCAGGAAGUAGGCAGCUGGAAAAAUUUAGUUGUAAUUCUGACAUUACAGCAGACAUUCUUCACAAUACGAAACAUUUAGACAACAUAACUGUACCUUGUAAAAGCAGCUGCUCCCAAAGGGGCAAGUGCCCUUUCCGAAGUCAAAGUGCUUACAAUCAAUAGACCUGCAACAACAUAUGCGCAGAUAGUGAAUCAGCUUCCGCUGUGGCAGAAAAUACAACAGAAGUUUUAUUCCAAGCAGAUCAGCAAUCCAUCUUAGAAAACAGCAUUUGCAUUACUUAACGCAAAUUAAACACUACAGAUAUCUUGCUGUUAUUAAGCUGAGCAGUUUGAAACAUAUCACAUAAACAAUGUGCAUAAGGAUAAAACAAAACUUCAAAUCAAUUAUCUUACCUAAGCUUAGCCUUGUAGCCUUCAACGAUUUCCUGUUUUUCUUCCUUCGAGGAGUACCACGUAACGCUAGGAACUACAUAGUAUGACAAUUUGCGGCAUAUUGGACAAGCCCUGAGUGUAGAGUUGACAUCCAUGCCAGACGUAGGAGAGGUGCUACGCCAAUUCCUAAUGCACGAGAUACAGAAGGAAUGGUCACAGUCAGAUAGCAGACCAAACCUCCUUUCUGCUGCUGUAGGUUUUGAAAACACACGGUCCAAGCACACACCGCAUUCUAUAUCUUCACUUUUUCUCAAGGCAUCAAGAAGUCUGUUGUUUUUCUUGCAUAGCUUGACAUGCACACCACUUUCGUCAGGACGGUAAGGAUGCAAGCACUGUUUUUCACAGAAUGCGCAUAGAUCUCCAUGCAUCUGAGAACAGCCUUUCCCAUAAGGGCAAGUGCCAGCAGCAGCAGAAGAGCAAAUUGGCAUAUAAGCAGGAUCUUGAGAUGUUUGAUUUUGCACAGUUUGAUAGGACGGCCAGCUGUUAGCAUCCUCUGGAGUGUCAUGUUCAUGAUAAUCAACUGCCCAUGCAGGUUGAUGUGCAGAAAGUGCUGUUGUAGACUCGCAUAUCUGCUGCGUUUGGUCCCAUAGAUCCGUUUGGUAUUCACUGCAAUGACUUCCAGAAGAAGUGACUAGCUGAGAAGAAUUGGAGGAUGCACGCGCUGCAGUGGUUGCUGGUUGGGAGCAGUUCCGAUGAACUUCAACAUGUUCAUUUCUGCAAUGGCUACCAAAGGAGCAUGCGCCUUUCUGGUAAAAUGUGCAAACCUGUAGGUGAGAGCAUUACAAUAAGAAAUACUGGAUCAUGCAAAUGUAAAUCAGGUAGUGCAAGGAAAGUGGUCUGAUCAACUGAAGUUAGAAGUAUGUAGGUUACAUUAUCUGGUUGAUCAUUGCAGUCAUGGGAGAAUUCACAGUAAUCUCCUUUGAAGCACGCUCCAUGCAAGAAGAAUUUGCAAGGGACCCUGAUGAAUAAAAUAAAGUGAUAACAUAAGAGAUCUUCAUCAUUCUAAAUUUUUAUAUGUUCUACAUUGACAGCACCAUCAAAUUUUCAGUAUGCUAUGUCAACCGAUCUAAUCCUCAAUGAGAGGCAGCUAAGAUCAGUAUAAACAUACAAGAAGUGCAAGAUCGGUUACUCCAGCUUUUCAGGGCUUUAAACAAACAAUCUAUCCCCAGCGGUGUGUUUAUCAUGUACCACCGAACUGACAACAUGAUAGGCCUAUUUACUUUCUGUUUUCCUAGUACUUUACUGAACUUGGAAGUGUUCUUCCUGCUCAUCUUUCUAUCAUAUAAACCAUCAAUUGAGAUGUACUGUCAAACAUUUCCACACAUCCUAUUUUAUUGGUGCAGGUGUACCAAUACACUUUAAUUCAAAUUUUACCUCUAUACCCUGCCUUCUGUCCUGUUAUUCACUUAUUCUAAAAUUACACCACCACUUUCACUCAGGCUUGGGGCCUUUCGCGAAAAUAGCAAGAGCAACGGAGGAAAAAGGUAGAACCAUUGAUCCUGUAUUCCUCAUACUAUUGCAUUCAGCAAUUCAAGAGGACAUUUUUGUGCCACUCCCACUAGUUCCAUGACUCGGAAUGUACCGAGUUGAGUUGAAUACGUGAUGAAAUUCAUAAUGAUGCUCCACCAAACCACUACACGUGGUCUGAUUUUGCCACAAGCACAACCAGACGAAUUAGAAUGAAAAAGACAGGUCCCUCGGGAGAUUAAUUUAGUCGCCUCGAUGGUUACAAACGUCCUGAAACCGAAUUGCAGCCUCCCUAAAGCCAAUACUAUCUUAAUUACCACAAAUAGACAAGGACGAGCAGCAUCACGCCCAAAUCUAGACCACCGCGCUAACACCCAGCUCCAUUUGCAGGAAGACCGCGCUGCGAUGCUAUACGAAUACUGAAAUCCAAGCUAAAUCCAGACUAAAUUUCUAACACCAACACGAACGCGAUCGGCCUCUAAGCUUAACAGCAUCUCACCCAGCUCGAAAUCGCUAAAAAAUGCAGCCAAAUCGAGCAUGCAGGGGCAGGCAGCCGAAGUGUUACCUCCUCGACAUGCCCGCCGAGCCGGGAUCGAGCUGCACCGUCGACGAGUCCGGGGACACCAAGGCGACGCGAGGUCCUCCCCCGUCUCCGCCGCCGCGGGUGCCGCCCGCCGAACGCCUAGGGUUUGGUCGGUGCAGCGCGAAGCUCCGCCUCGGUCGGUACCUUUCGUCGUCCUCGCGCCUCCGCAGGUCAGCUUUGUGGUGGGCACCGAAGCGGGGAAUCGCCUUCUCCUAAAAACGGGAGGGGCGCGGAAUGACGGUUCCGCCCCCGGGGACGUGGCGGGACGAGUGGGUGGGGCUUCGGGCAGAAGCGGGAAUUCGGCGGCGGGGAGAGGGAGGGGAGCCUGGAGCUAUGUUCCCGCCUGAUUGUGCGGCCAACCAUCUCUGCUUGCGUUGCGCCUCGCGGCCGGAGGUAAACGGCGAACAGGGGUUGUUCGCUGGCGGAGGGGCUCAGGGGCGUGUGGGGCCAUGUGGGCGUGUUGUGAUCGGCAAGGCUGGCAAAGCACGUGGAGAAAAUUAACUGCGUAUCAUCAUCGAACAAAAACUUGUAAUGAAGUGUUUGGUCGAGAAUUGAGAUAGUGGCAACGCAAAUGAACGAAAUCAAAUCACUGGUAGAAUCACAGGUGGAACGAACGAUUACAAGUUUUGUUUGGUUUGAUACUUAUUACAUAGCAUGUUUAGAGGGCGUUUGGUUCCCUUUGCUUAUUUUUAGCACGUGUCACAUCGAAUGUUUAGGCACUAAUUAGGAGUAUUAAACGUAGUCUAUUUACAAAACCCAUUACGUAAGUGGAGGCUAAACGGCGAGACGAAUCUAUUAAGUAGGCUUAAUAGAUUCGUCUCGCCGUUUAGCCUCCACUUACGUAAUGGGUUUUGUAAAUAGACUACGUUUAAUACUUCUAAUUAGUAUCUAAACAUUCGAUGUGAUGGGUGCUAAGAAUAAGUUAGUGGAACUAAACACCCCCUUAUAGUAAACCUGUAGCAUCAUCGAACCUCCAGCUUUGACCUGCUUCAGGUUGCGGGUGGGCUGGGGGCAGGAGCCCCGCUACCCCGUGCCCUCUAAAAAUUUCAGUUAUGAAUGGAGAAGGGGAAGAAAGAAAAUGAGCCCCUUUCUUCAAUUUCUGGAAGCGCAAAUGGGUGUCACUCGCUAUCAGCUCCUCGUGUUAAAGGGAAUACAAGUAGAGGAGAGAACUGAAAUGCUUGCAAAGAGAGAAUAUGAUUGGUUAAUAUCGAGGAUCGAUAGUACGGAGAUUGUAACUAGUGGUUGCAGGCUAAAUCCGACCAACUACAAGUAUAUUCUUCCCGCCUCAAUUUGAUUACGUUACAAAUUUGCAAACUAUAAGCAGCGCCUAGGAUGAAUAUCGUCACAUAAACGUAGAUUCAAAUGGAUUUAUCGAGAACACGCUUAAAAUGGUCUAUUUGCGUAUUUAUAGUUAAGUUCACUUGCACUUUAUAUUGAUGUGUUUUAAGAUUAACGAGGGUAGUUACGAUUCGGAUGAUAAUGAGUUAUUGGGCAGUCAGCAGGGACGGAGUUAGGAAAAUAAAUCAAAGGAGAUCAAACAGAAUAAAUUAUAGUGUUGUAGCUAUUUUCUAUACGAUCUACUAGCAUUGAAUAAAGUAGUUCAUCGGUUCGGAAAAAAGAGAGAUUAAAGUAGUUCAUCAGGCUUAGGGGGGCAUGGCUCCCCCUGACCCCUAGCUUCGUCCAUGCUUUGUUUAUAGUCAUCACUAAUCCAUUGUCAAUGGUGUUAACAUUAAGCUAGCACAACCUCAUGUGUUUUCACUAAUCCAUGGCCACAAAACCUCGACCAAAGUGUAUUCACAUGUUCACCUCCGCUUAGGAAGCUUCUUCAUCUCUUGACAUGGCACUAACCCAUUAAAGCAAGUUACCCUGCUUAAACUCACCCCACUAGUUCUCCUUCACCACCCGAAAAAGAAAAGUAGAUGUUCUCUUUUUAAGGUCGCUAUACGAGUAAAACAUUAUAGCAGUUUUCUAAAGAAAGUUAAAUAUUGCUUGAGGAGAUGUUAUGAGUUCGAUCCACUAGAAGCGCAUAAAUUAAAUUUGAUAGAAUUUAAGUUUAUUGCAAAAGAUCCUUUGUGGCAGUUACGAACCGGUUUGCCAAGUUUUUCUAAUAGAGUGCUAGGCAAAGAGUUGCCAGGAUUUCUUACAAGAUUAAGUUGUUUUAUGCAAAAAAAAAAAAACGUUCCAAACGUUAUGCACAAAGUAGUCGAGAGUUACUCACAAAAAUUACACUAAGUCUUCGAUAAUCUCACCCUCCUUUGUUUUUUUAGUUAGAAAAUUUGCAAAAGUCCACACACAAACUAGUGGGUUUCAAAACCCCAUUUGCAUCUCGCUUGCUUACAGUGUCUGGCACAUGCAAGUUCUAUUCUAUUUUUUUCAAAUAUACGAUGUAUCCGUUGACAAACUAAUGUAGUUGUCACGAAGGAAGCCUCGUCGAUGACUUGCUCAUUCCCAGUAUGUUUGCCAAAGAGUUUUCUCAAAGUUUGGCAUGUUUAUGAUUGAGGUAAAUUCUAUUUUUCUCAAGUUUAGAUUCAAUAUUUGCGGACGAUGUGACUCCUACUUGGUUCAGCUUUUGACACAAUGGUGCGUUAACGGUGCCCACAACCACCGCAUGGGCAUUGUGAAGCUGAUUUUUCGAACCAACCUCGAGCUUCCUUUUUUCAAUAAAAAUAAAUAAAAUAAAUUGUUUCUAGGGGGACUUCGAGUCUUUCCACUGGUAGUUCAUACUACCAGUUCAGAAAACACCGGUAGGGAGAACCAGAUGCUCGCGUCUCGCGACGUCAGAACCCCCGGCCCCGGCGCCUCCCGCGCCGGCGCCGGCAACCCCCGCCCAGCCACCGCCCUUGAUACCCCUCGCAUCAGCGCUACCCAGCUUGACGCCGGCGCCGGUGCACUAUGCACUGCCGCUGGCGCCCACGCCGCCGCCGCUAGCGCAUCUCGCGCUACCGACAGCAACCACCCAACACCUCCACCCCACAACAGCCGCUUUCGCCGCGACAAGCUGACGACGCGCAAUGGAUUGGCCAGCGCUGCAAGAACUCCAGUCGACAAAGUCGCCGCUCGCCCGGGUUCCAAGCUCCAGGAACUACUCCUCCACGACUUCCACUCAGUAGCUUGCCCAGGUGCUCUCCCCUCUGCUCCGGACUCUUUUAUUUGGAUCACUCCCCCGUUCUUGGCCAUGCGUUUCAACUCCUCCUAUGUAUCCUCGGUUCUCUCCUUCCAUCUCACCGCACCCCCCUCCUCGUCCGCUCUACCGCCGUCGCCUCUGGUGUCUUCCGCGCUCGACUAUCAAGCGCCAAUGUUACCAACUUCAUCCUUUCGCGGAGGCACCUCAGUUUCGCUGGCCUAAGGUUUUGCCUUCAUCAUUCGGAAGCUCGAGCCAUGGCCACAGCCGCUUGCUUCCGUGAGGAAGACGAAGCCGUUAUUGCGGCCUACCCACUAACUGUGCCCCAGCCUGACAGGUGCGAGGCACAAGGCGCCAGUCUCCCCCAGCUCCUCCCUGGCGACCAAAUGAACGCUUUGGCAUGUCAGAGACCUGCCACUGGGUACAAUCCGCGGAUUCAGAAGGAUACGCCCUUUACUCCAAGCGCUGACCUCGGCCUGCUCCCCCUGCCGAAACACGCCUCCCGCCGCACGGAUGUGACCGGGAGUGGCGACACUGAACGCGACGUCGCGUCCGCGUUCACUGCGCCGCCCCCCCCGGCGCUCAACCCUAUCUCCUCGCUGCGCGCGCACCUGCCUCCUUAACUCCGACGCCCGCACGACGAUACUCAAAACCCAUCCCCCUCCACCACGGCGGCUGCCAUCGCUGCCUUUCUCGCGACCACCGUGUUCGGGACUGCAGAGACCCUAUACGCUGCCGCUUCUGUCGCGGGUCUGGGCACCGCGGCUACGCUUGCCCCAUGGCGUUCCCACGCGAGCAGAUUCCCCACCCCCGCCGCCGCCCCACCAUUCCCCUCCCCGCGUCACGUGUGCCAAUCAACGUGGUCCCUUUCCUCCCCCGCAACUCGCCUCCGCCUUCUGCCACGCCAACGCCUCCGUCCACCCCGCUCAACCUCCCUCCUUUCACCACGACCUUCGACCCGCUGCGUAUGCUUGCCUCCACAAGCCGUGCCCCCGCGAUCGCGGAGCGGGUGGCUGAACCGCGACACCCUACCUCGAAGGAGGGGCCGUUUGGACCUCGGCGACUUCUUCCGCGAGCCCCUAGCUGCUGCCGCAGCCCCCUCCCCCCUGAUCCACGCUGCGCUCCAUGUCGCGGCGCUGCACCUGCGCUUCCAGCUGCUCCCGUCACCCUGUGGUGUGGCACUGCUACACUUUGGCUCCCCCGCGGCGCGGGAGAUGGCAAUGGACGCGCAGCCAGUGCACCUCAACGGCGCCACUGUCACGCUCGAGUGCGCGGAGGAAACUGAUGAUCGCUUCGUCCGUGAGCCAGAAUGGCUUGCGCAUGUCGCCAUCUGGAAUCUGCCUCCCGAGCACUGGUCGGUCGAGCAGGUGCGUGACAUCCUUCGCCGUGUCGGCACCCUCAUCGAAGUGGAUCCUUUUUGCAGCCCUGGCUUCGACCGUUCCUGCAUGCGCGUGGUGAUUGAGCUGCAACACCCCCGUCUCCCCAGCCGCCUCAGCGUCCACACCCCGAGCGACCGCGGCGUCGUUCUGCGCCUGGGCGGUCUGGCCUUCUGGCCGCGCGAGCAGCAGUUCGACGAGGCGGGAGGCUGGAUCCCGUUCUUCGGCCCAACUCCGCCACCACCGCCACCUCCUCAAAACCACGGUCUACACCCCACUCUGCCGCCUAACAACCUAGCGCCUCCGCCUCCACCAGCCGCACACCUGCCAGAGCAGCAGCAUCCCGCGCCGCUACACCCAGCAUCUUUCACUGGCGCCUCAAUCCUCUGCCACGGCUUCAUAAAUCCUUUCCCCCUGCCACCCCUACCCGCUUUCCCCAUCCUGAUCCAGUUACCCCCCUCGGACACCAGUGGAGACCUGGGGAGCUAUGGCGCCAGGCCGGUCCUGCUCCUCACCUGGCGCCCCGCCGCGCCUGAACCAUGCCCGCCACCCACGCCUCCCAACACACCGUUGCCAGCGCACUCCCCCAGGCGACCUCUCGGCACUGCUGCGCCUCCCCCCCAACCCCGCCACCUGCAACAUCAGAUGCGCCCCCGCGCUGCCCAUCUCGCCCACCCCUCCGCAAACGCCAUAGCGCCCGCUUGGCGGCAAAAGAAGAUGGUAAAUUCGUGGACGCCACUGCCAAAGCAGCCCAACUCAAAGCUCUCCGCGAUAGCCUCGCACUCUGUUCGUCUGCAGUUCAAGCCCAUGUUACUAAGAAGAAGCUGCUGAUGAGGAAGAAGAAGCCAAUCUCUGGAGCGGACUUAGUGAAGCUUGCCGAUGCUGUGGGGCUCGGUCAGGAGACGGCCAAAGCUCUGGACCGGGUCCUUGCCAUCGGGAAGGCCACUGCUGCUCAGCUGAACAAGGUGCUUGACGCCCCCAAUGCUUGAACUCCGGAAGGCUUGCACCCGUUUCUGCUGUUUGCCCACUCUUUGCAGAGACGUCAGCUACCUGUCCGCCUAUGUGUGUCUGUUGCUUCUUCGCCAUGGGUCUAGUGUCUGGUCCUCCAGUGUCUUAGCUCCUCGUCUUAUGCCUCUAAUGGAUGUUCUCCUGCUCUCACUCUGGUGUUGUAAUCGUACCUAUGAAUCUUAAUUUUAGUUCCUUUUCCCUUCUAUCCUGGAAUGUUCGUGGCCUCGGAGAUCCGCACAAGUGCACGAUUGUUAAAGACUCUGUUUCCUCCUCGCAUCCUAGCAUUGUUUGUCUGCAGGAAUCCAAGCUGUGUGCCCUGGAUGGCCUCAAGGCUCGCUCCUUCUUGCCUCCUGCCAUCACCGCCUUCCGCUGUGUCGACGCCUCGGACACGCGUGGUGGGAUUAUCACUGCGUGGGAUCCAUCGAUGUUCACUGCUGAUUCUUUCAUCGCUCGACGUCAUACUCUUACUAUUUUUCUUUCCUCCACGGCCUCCAACUACUCCUUCGCGGUUACUAACAUCUAUGCUCCCGCGGACCAUCGCGACUCUCUGUCCUUUCUUGAACACCUGCAUGAACUCGCCCAACACAUCUCGGGGGCCUGGGCGUUGGUGGGCGACUUCAACCUAACCAAGAGUGGCCAAGAAAACAGCAAUGGCUCCUCCCAUCCCGGCCUCUGCGCUGCCUUCAACGCUACUAUCGACGUGCUCUCCCUCCUUGACCUGCCUCUCCUGGACCGCCUUUUCACCCGGUCCAAUCACCGCGAUUCUCCUACGCUCGCCCGCCUUGACCGCGCUCUCUUCAACUUAGCGAUGAACACAACCUUCCUGAACUCCUCCCUGUGUUCCUUACCAAAAACCACCUCUGAUCACACCCCUCUCCUCCUCCAAAUGUCCACCUCUAUCCCGAAAGCCAACGUCUUCCGCUUUGAAAACUCCUGGCUCCAGGAUAUAAACUACCUCCCUACCAUCCUGCCAGCUUGGGCUCAGAACGACAACUUUGACGCGGCUGGCGCGAUUGCUCGCGCGCUUAAGGCAGUCCGCUGCGCGUCUAAGGCUUGGGCGCGAUGUAAGCGUGCUCCCCCCGCUCUACCCUCCAACUGCAAAUUCAUCAUUUUUCUGCUUGAUGUGCUCGAAGACUUUCGCUGUCUUUCUCCAGGCGAAGCGCUGCUGCGCCGGGCGUGCCAAGACAGGCUUGCACUAGUGCUGCGCGAACGGGCUGCGUUCUGGAAACAACGCGGCAAGUUCCGCGCGAUGCGGGAAGGCGAUGCGAACACGCAGUUUUUCCACGCGCAGGCCACCAUCCGGCUGCGCCGGAAUAACAUCCGCGCCCUAAACAUCAAUGGAGUGGUGCUGAGCUCGCACCAGGAGAAGAUGACGGCUCUCACGGUCCACCUCCAGAGCUCGCACGGUGAAUCUGAGCAGGGUCGACCUUGCUUCCUUGUACUCAGGCUUGCCACGCGCGGCAAGCGCCCCGCUCCUUGCCCCCUUCACCGCAAACGAAGUGCGAGCAGCUGUCCGCGCGAUGAACAGGACAAGCUCACCGGGCCCCGACGGGUUCGGCCCCUCCUUCUAUGCCGUGGCUUGGGACACGGUAUGUCCCACGGUGAUGGCGCUUGCGCAGGCGUUCCAGGAGGGGACGGCUGAGCUCGAGCGUAUCAACCGUGCCUAUGUUGUCAUGAUACCGAAGCAUGCGGCAGCGAUGUCGCCGGGCGACUACAGGCCGAUCUGCUUGCAAAAUUGCUCCCUCAAGAUCGUCUCCAAAAUGAUGACUUCACGGCUCCAGUGUCAGAUCUCCAAGCUGGUUGACCCGGAUCAAACAGGCUUCAUCAAGGGGCGUUCGAUCUCUGAAAGCUUCAUCUAUGCAACUGAGUUGGUCCAGUGCUGUCAUAGACGACGACUGCCUAUUGUGGUCCUGAAGCUGGACUUCGCAAAAGCAUUUGAUUUAGUCGAUUGGCGCUGCCUGGCUACCGUUCUCGCGGCUCGGGGGUUCCCUGCGCAAUGGACUGCGUGGACUCUCUCGUUGCUGCACAGCUCCAAACUCGCGGUACUGAUGAAUGGGGUGCCUGGGCCUUGGUUUCCCUGCAAACGCGGUCUUCGGCAGGGUGAUCCGCUGUCUCCUUACCUGUUCCUGCUCGUUUCAAAUGUGCUCCAGCAAAUGAUCAAGCAAGAUCGCAGAAUACUCCACCCGGCCAGCUCUGACCAUCCAUGCCCGGUGUUACAGUAUGCGGACGACACAUUGAUCCUCCUGCAGGCCGACCAGGAUAGUGUGGUGGCUCUGAAGCAAGUGCUGGACCUCUUCUCUGAUCUCACUGGGCUGCACAUAAACUUUAGCAAAAGCACCAUGGUUCCUAUGAACGUCGACAUACAUCAGGUAACUGCCUUGCAGCAAGUCCUUGGCUGUCAGCUCGGCUCUUUCCCUCAAUCUUACUUGGGGCUCCCCUUAUCAAAUGAGAAGCUCAAACUCUCGGCCUUCACCCCUCUGAUUGCCCGGGCAGACCGACAGCUCAGUGGAUGGCGCGCCUGCCUCCUCAACUCCGCAGGGCGAGCUGUGCUGAUAAACAGCGUCAUGGAUAGCCAGUUGACGUAUGCAAUGUCCGUUCUCCUCCCUCCCCCUGGAGUGGUGGAUGCUUCAAACCGUCGACGACGAAGUUUUCUUUGGGCUGGAGAGGAUACGGUCAGUGGUGCUCACUGCCUUGUCGCCUGGGGGCCUGCCAGCCGAAAAAGCAAGGGGGGCUAGGCAUCAAAGAGCUUGGCGCGAAGAACCAAAGUUUGUUGUUGAAGCUUCUACACCGCAUCUUCCGGCCGGGGGAGUCCUCCUGGGCGCGGUGGGUACGCGAGAGGAUUAAUCUAGCCUCGCUACAAGGAUCCCUGGAAGGGGUCCAUUGGGCAGCUCUGGGCAGCAUGCUGCCGCUAUACCGUGCUGUCACGAGCUCUGAAGUUGUCAAUGGCGAGAGCACGAGCUUCUGGCAGGACAGAUGGCUAUCGGUUGGCCGGCUGGCUGCACUAUAUCCUGCUUUGUACUCCCACACUACACAACCGGAAGCCUCGGUGUCGCAAGUCAUUACCGACGGGAUCCACAGGCACCUGAUGCCCAGGCUGACCCAUGCGGCUGCUGCUGAAUUAGACGACCUGAACCUCAAGAUUGGCCAUAUUGCCUUGGGCAGUGCCAAAGACCAACGGCAUAGCACUUUGCCCCCCCCAAUGCGCACUUCCAGUCUGGUGCUGCCUACAAUAAGAUCAUGGAAGCAACCGGGCCUCCUACCUGCACCUUUGCCAAAUUUGUUUGGUCCAACCGAGCACCCCCUCGCGUGCAGUUCUUCGCCUGGCUGAUGGUUCAGGAACGGAUCAGCUGCCAUGCAAAUCUCGUCAAGAAGCACAUCCUCGCUGACCCGGCGUGUGCGCUGUGUGGCCAGCCAGAAGAUUGCGACCAUCUGAUCCUUCACUGCCGCUUUGCUGCUCAAGUCUGGUUGGCGCUUCCCGCCGACACAACUGGAGUUUCGGUUCGCUGUCUGUGGAAUAUCCCCCGCCCCACGACGGUGCCGAGCCGCUACUACUCCAGUUUCAUCCUUCUCGUCUGUUGGUUGCUAUGGAAAUCCCGUAAUGAGCUUGUUUUCCAGAACAUUACCCCGUCGGUCGGGCGCUUCUGGCUUGCAUGCCGCGACGAAGCCCGGCUAUGGAGCCACCGGCUAAAGGUCGAGGAUCGUCGGAUAGCGGAUGCCUGGUGUCUACUUUUUAGUUCAAUGUAAACUAAUGUAAUUCUCCAUCCCUCCCCCGCCUCGUUUUAUUGCUUAAGAUCUAAUGUACUUGCAUUUGGCCACCCUUCGGCCCCUAUAAUGAAAUCAGGUGGGGCACUCCCCCCGUUGACCCCUCAAAAAAAAAUUGUUUCUAGACUAGGUUCGAAAAACUUAAUUUCACUGAUCAAGGCCAGCCCUGUAACAAAUGUUGGCGGGCUAAAACCCAGCAUACUUCUUGAACCGAGCCCGGUUUUAAACGCGCAUGUAGUUGGAUUGUAGGAAAGCCAGAUGGAUAUUUAAAAGCCCCUAGCUUUACAAAUUUUCUUUUUAUUUCGAAAGAAAUUCUGCUUUAUACCUACACUAUCUCGAGAUUAUUGCCACCAGGAUAUUCGUACAGGCCUGCCCCUCACCGCAUCAGCGGGAACAACUUCGGUGCUUUGUGACGAUACAUGACCUCCUCGUUGACCUAAAAAAAAAUACAAAUGCGUGGACCAUUCCAAUUCGAUGUUUCCUACUUCCCAUGCAGUCACUUUCAUAUUUGAACUUUCCGCGACGAGAUAAAUAAAGAACCCUCCUUUAUUCCCCCAUCAGCCACCCCCUCCACAAAUCCAAAUCGCGCGUUCUUCCGCACCGGCUAUCCAACUUGGAAAAGCUACGAUUUCUCUGUUGCCCUUGCCCCUUUACAAUCGAGAACGGACGGUCGAGACUUCGGCCUAAAAUCGAAAAGAAUUCACCAAUAAACAACCGUAUGAUUGAGCAACCAAUAUUGUUUCCAGUCCCUAUCAAAAUCACGAGUGCUAGGGCCUGUUUGGUUAAUGGGAUUAAAGUUUCUAUCAUAUCGAAUGUUUAAAUACUAACUAGGAGUAUUAAAUAUAAGUUAGGGGUGUUUGGGAACACCGUGCUAAACUUUGGCACCUGUCACAUCGGAUGUUUGAUACUAAUUAGGAGUAUUAAAUAUAGUCUAAUUACAAAACUAAUUACAUAGAUGGAGUCUAAUUCGCGAGACAAAUAUAUUAAGGCUAAUUAAUCCAUCAUUAGCAAAUGGUUACUGUAGCACCACAUUAUCAAAUCAUGGACUAAUUAGGCUUAAUAGAUUCGUCUCGCGAAUUAGACUCCAUCUAUGCAAUUAGUUUUGUAAUUAGCUCAUGUUUAGUCCUCCUAAUUAGCAUCCGAACAUCUGAUGUGACCCUGCUAAAGUUUAGUAUCUCGUAUCCACCCCUUACUUAGAAAAUCAAUUGCAUAAAUGAAGGCUAAUUUGUAAGACGAAUCUAUUAAGCCUAAUUAGUCCAUGACUUGACCAUGUGAUGCUACAGUAAAUAUGUGCUAAGCAUGGAUUAAUUAGGAUUAAUAAAUUCGUCUCGCGAAUUAGUCACAGCUUAUGCAAUUAGUUUUAUAAUUAGUUCACGUUUAGUCCUUCUGUAUCAAACAUCCUCCGAACUAAAAAUUCCAAACACCCCAUAAAAAAUCAAAAAUAGAAGAAAUACAUGCAUCCAGCCUAGUUGCUGACCAUCCAUCCAUCCCAUCCCCAAAAGGCCGCAACCAACCUGCACGUUUCGCACACCCCCAGCCCAUGUUCCGUGCCGCCCUUUCACACUCCGCCCCCGCCCGCCUUCCCCCAAACUUCCCUCGCGCCGGACCCGAUCUGACCAACCAACCCCACAUGGCGGCGCGCAUCCACCGUCCAUCCAGCCCCAAACAAACCCUAGCCCCUCGAUCCGCCGUCCAAUGCCCCAUUUCGCACCAACCACGUCCGCACCCCUCGCGCGCCCCCCGCUGGCCUCGCGCCGGACCCGAUCUGACCAACCAACCCCACAUGGCGGCGCGCAUCCACCGUCCAUCCAGCCCCAAACAAACCCUAGCCCCUCGAUCCGCCGUCCAAUGCCCCAUUUCGCACCAACCACGUCCGCACCCCUCGCGCGCCCCCCGCUGGCCGAUCCCGCCGCGCGGUCUUCGGCGCGCCGCAGCGGAUCCCGCGUGGCGGAGCGAAUCAAAAAACCCGGCAUGGAACGGAACGGCCCCGGUGUGGCCCACCGCGUGGGCGGGGCGCGCGGAUCCACCGGCCCCGCCCGAUCGGACGGCCAGGGCGCGCGGGAGGCCCCACGCGGAGGGAGGGGGGUGUACGCGACUGUGGGGCGACGCUGCGGUGGCGGCGCGGCGGAGAUAAAAGGGCACGCCCCGAGAAGGCCUCGCUCCCCCUCCCAACUCGACGCGCCUCUGAAAGAUCGGAGCCGCCGCCCAGUCUGCCCUCCCUCCCCCCGCCUCCGGUGCCGAAGGGUGAGAGUCUCUCCUUCGCGUCCCCGCCUCCCGUCCUCUGCUCCCGAUUUAGCCUCGUGCUCUCUCGCUCCUAUUUGUGGCGAUCCGUGCCAGAGUGGUGUUAUAUAUAGAUCUGCUCGUUCGGUUGUCCCCUAGAUCCAUUUUCUCCGUUUGUUUUCGCUUGGGAAUUGUUCGUGUGGUGGUCUCGGCCUCUGGGGUUCGUCCAGAUCGGUGCUUCCUGCAUCUGGUAAGGACUGAGAGGCUCACCUGCUGGUCGGUUCAUCUGUGCUUCAGAUCUACCUUGUUUCUUCGUAGAUGUGUGCAUCGCGGGGUUCUCAUGUACUAGCUGGCUCGGAAUCUUGAGAUCUCCGUGGAAUCUUUAGAUCGCGAGGUUAUUGGUUGGUCAGCCGGGGAAGUGGGACAGGGCGAAGAAAAAUAUGGCGCUAUUUUGACUGUUAUUUCGUGAUAGUGACGGUGGCGCGUCAGAUCCGGCUAUGCUGUUUGCACCCGAUGGCGAUCUGACGGCGGCCACCCGUCUCAAUAAUAUCGGUUUAAAUGUGAAAUUUUUUAGACUUGAUCUACCAAUCAUGUGAAAACGAUCUUUGUUAGCAAUCUCCCGGCCGUAGAUCUGUUAUCAGUUCUGUCUUGCGUACAUAAUAGCUGUCGUAUUCCAUGAACACCUUUUUGUGCAGUUUAUUUAGUAGGGAUAUGGGUUUGACUUAUGCUUCAAGCUGUUGAAACCAGUUGUAUCUAAAUGCCCAGUCUCCGUGAACAACUUGUAUUUUGUUACUAUGUAACCUUAGAUCUUUCUGUAUUCAAGGUCUUUAUUGGUACUGCAAACAGCCACCCCCUGUUUAGGGUUCAUCUGUUUUUAAACUACGACUGGAGCAGUCUCCAAACUGUUGAUGCUAUGAUGUUUUUCAGUGCCUAUCAUAGUUUGGUUUGGAGAUCAGGAUAUUCUGCAUUAAUACAGGGUUCCUUCGUUCUUAACUAGAGCAGGCUCCUGAUGCUAUGAUGUUUUCAAUGCUUAUUGUAGUUAGGUUUGGAGAUCAGGAUAGCAUUUGUUAUACGGCUUGGAGGAAUUUGUUACAGUCCAGAACUGUUAGCAUGCUGUAUCUUACUGUCUGUAAUUUUAGUUGCUUGGUUCCUUUGUAUGCAUCUGUUUUACUGCCUGAUAAUUGUUUGUUAGACUUAGGAAACAUAAGUUCAUCUAUGUUUUAUCUCUACAUUGUGCUCUGAAUAUGCUAAUUAACAUGAUGGUAGCAGAUGUUUAAUUUUAAGAGUAAUUGCUUGGUUGAUUUAAAAUUCUGUUUGUGUUUGAAGGGCCUCCACUUUGUCAACGUAUGUUUUGGAACUUAAAAAAAUAUUGCACCUACUGUAAUCUGUUGAAAUGUUUGUGCAGUAGCUAUGCUAGAAACCUUCAGAUCUUUUCUUCAUCAGUCAAAUGUAGGUGAUCCUAUUCUGUUUCUGCUGCUGUGCACUUUCCUAACAUAUCUGCUUGUUGAUGUUAUGGUGCAGGAAAUUGUUUUGAGGUGGUGAUGGCGGACCAGGUCAACCAACCAACUGUCCUUCAUAAGCUCGGUGGCCAGUUCCACCUGAGCUCCAGCUUCUCAGAAGGUGUACGGGCCCGUAACAUCUGCCCUUCUGUCUCGUCUUAUGAGAGGAGAUUUCCCACAAGGAACUACAUGACCCAGAGCCUUUGGGGCCCUUCAAUGUCUGUCAGUGGUGGCAUCAAUGUCCCAGCGGUGUCAUCCUCUCCGCUUUUUGCUAAUGCUCCAGCUGAGAAAGGAGGCAAAAACUUCAUGGUUGAUUUCCUCAUGGGUGGUGUUUCAGCUGCUGUUUCAAAGACUGCUGCUGCUCCCAUUGAGCGUGUCAAGCUGCUUAUUCAGAACCAGGAUGAGAUGAUCAAGGCUGGUAGGCUGUCUGAGCCAUACAAGGGUAUUGGUGACUGCUUCAAACGUACCAUCAAGGAUGAGGGUUUCUCCUCCUUGUGGAGGGGUAACACUGCUAACGUUAUCCGCUACUUCCCUACUCAGGUAGCCCUCGCCUUUCUUCACUUUCCUUAUGCAUGGUAGCAGAGUUUUAUUUUAUUUUCCGUUGUUAGCUGUUGUAUACCGAACAUAUGUUUGUUCGGUACUCCUGUGAUUACUAUCUUUUUUAUAGCAUCCCUUUUUUGUCCUAAGGUUGUUUUAGAAACCAGACCCUUUUUCUCUAGCUGUGUAUAAAGUUAGAAACUAGAUCUGGUUCCUUGAUAAUCCAAUUAUUUUGUUUUCUGUUUUGUUGGUGGGUAAGUUUUAUUUAUAUUCUUACCUUAACAUUUGUUUUUCUUUGUCCUAGGCAUUGAACUUUGCAUUCAAGGACUACUUCAAGAGGCUGUUCAACUUCAAGAAGGACAAGGAUGGUUACUGGAAGUGGUUUGCUGGCAACCUUGCCUCUGGUGGUGCUGCUGGUGCGUCCUCCCUGUUUUUUGUGUACUCCCUGGACUAUGCGAGGACAAGGCUGGCCAAUGACGCAAAGGCAGCCAAGGGAGGAGGUGAUAGGCAAUUCAAUGGUCUUGUGGAUGUCUACCGCAAGACUCUAAAGUCCGAUGGUAUUGCUGGGCUUUACCGUGGGUUCAACAUCUCUUGUGUUGGAAUCAUUGUGUACCGUGGUCUGUACUUCGGGCUGUACGAUUCUAUCAAGCCAGUUGUCCUUACCGGCAAUCUCCAGGUUUGGUCUACUGCCAUUCUGUUUCUCUUUAGCUCAGUUGCUUGGGGUAUGAGCGCCCUAAGCUGUGUUUUUAGUGAUACGAGAGUAAGUUUGUUUUUGUUCUUUGCAGGACAAUUUCUUUGCCAGCUUUGCCCUGGGUUGGCUGAUCACCAACGGCGCUGGUCUUGCAUCUUACCCCAUUGACACUGUCCGCAGAAGGAUGAUGAUGACGUCUGGUGAGGCUGUCAAGUACAAGAGCUCCAUGGAUGCCUUCCAGCAGAUCCUGAAGAAGGAGGGCCCUAAGUCAUUGUUCAAGGGGGCUGGUGCCAACAUCCUCCGUGCCAUUGCUGGUGCUGGUGUGCUUUCUGGCUAUGACCAGCUUCAGAUCCUCUUCUUCGGGAAGAAGUACGGCUCGGGCGGUGCUUAAAUGAAGAAAAAUGAUGACGAACAAGAGCAGUUUGUUCCCGGUCCUGCCCAAUCAGGAUCUGGUGAAGUUUUUGCCUUUCAUAUCCAAAAGUAAUAAUUCAUGUAGAGGGAGGAUUCUUCCAACAUUCGUUUUGGGUGGAGGCUUCGAUCUCCAAACAGUAUCUUAACUAUCCUAGACGGUGGCAUCGGUCCCCGGAAACAUUUGUCGUCAUAGGUUGAGUCGAGUCUGCCCAACUUUUAUCAGUCGGGCAAUUUUCCUUCAUACAUUAUUACCUUCGAUCAAGUAUCGGAUGAGAGUCAAGUUGCUGCGGUUAAUUGUUUUCUUACAUGUUGCCAUGCUUUAUGUCAUCAAUGAUCUGGUUGAGCUCAUUUGUCUUAUUUGUUUCGUCUCAUAUGAAAGCUUCAUGUGGUGCUUUCCCAUGUUCUGAUUUGGUUAAUUUGGACCUGCAUUUGAAGAUACCUAGUGCAGCAUAGUAAGCUUGGGAAACUUUAGCUCAAACUUGUUCGUGCUGUAGAAGAAGCUCCAUAAUAAACACAUGAGAUGCGUCAAGAUCCUCCUUUUAGAUGCUCUACUCGUUUAACUUAUGAUGUACAUUGCUAUUCUAGCUAUUUUCUAGAGAGAAGCGGGAUCCAAGAUCAAACCUUGCUAUUCUAGCUGUUACCUAGAGAGGAAGUGAGGAACUGAAUCUUAGAUCAAACCCGAGGAUUAAGAAAUAGGAGUUUGGAACCAGAUGUAAAGCGGUCUACUGCAGCAGAGGCAACAAAAAACUUUCCAGUUUCUCUGUGAUCCUGAGUUCUUAUAUAGAACACAAAACAGCACAAAGUUGUAGCAUUCCUUGUAGUAAACGGGACCAUUUUGCCUACAAAUCUACAACCUAAACAUUCAAGAAACUGAGACUUCGGAGUGUUUAUGGACCGAACCAAUGCCUAGAGUGUUUAAGGACCGAACCAAUGCCGUGAUGCACAAAUGUGAAGGUGAGUAUAAUUUCAUGCCUUUUAACUUACAAAUGAAGAGCCAUGUUGAAUUGGAAACUAAGGAGCCAAUAGUUUUCACCGUAAAUCUAACACUGAAUUAUCAGUUUCUGCAGCAAUACUAGCAGCAAACCAUAUCUGAGGAAUUCAGGAGCCCAUACAAACAAAGGCAGACAAGUAGCUGCAUAAAAAGUUUCAAACAAGCAUGCAUCUUGGGAAUUCAUAUAUAAAACUAUGCUGUACGAGAUGGCAACCAUCCUCUUCUGUGGCUCCUGAACAAGAAACCGAACAGAAAUAUAGUUUCAUUUCGUUAUUAUAGUGAAACCAUAAGUUGGGACAGUAACGAAACCAGUGGACAUGUAACCAAAAUGACAAUGAGCCAGCCAGCCUUUAUCACUUAAUCAAUCGUAUACAUACUAAUACUACUUAUCAGCAAUACAUCAGCCAAAUCUAAACAUUCUCUGAUUAUCAAAUAAGUUAGUGCAUGAGAACUAGACUGGGAGGGAAUCCUUCAUCCAAGCAAGCUGCAGAGGAACCAGUAAGCUGUGUUAAGCAGGAAGAAGACAAGCAGCCAAGAGAUCUUCUGAAUGCGGUGAUGUAACCAAGGUAGCAGCUUAAUCACAGCAUGAUUUUAAUCAGAACAGUAUAAGUCCAAUCUGAAGGGAGCAUGACUUAACAUGAAAACAUAGCAGAUGUCAGCUUGGGAGACAGAAUGGGCACUCAACAUCUCUGUUUAAAGUUCUCUCUGUUAGAUUUCAGGAGGAAGUUGCCCAGCACAUGCAGCGGCAUAAUGAACUGGCAGCAUUGGAACAAUUUCCUUGUAACGUUCAAUGAACCUUACAGCAAAUUUCUGCUCAGUUGAACAAACCACAUUGUAGAAGUCAAUAUCAUCUUUUACCAGUCCUUUCGCCCUCAGAACCUUUAGGACAUAAUGCCGGGGCAUCAUCCGCCUCUCCAUGCUAUGACUCAACACUGCUGGCCUAUGCACAAUGUACUUGGCCUCCAGACCAACCUCCAUCUUCAGGAACGCCACUGUACGGGUCAGAUUGACCUCUGAUAAUUUUAGAGUGGUAGGCAUCUUGCCAACUGCAAUGCGGAGCUCAGUCUCAGAGCAUCCAAGAGCUUUCAUCAAGAAAUCCAACUUUGCGCCGACUCUCUGAGGGUUGAUGCUGUAGGUGGUUGCUAAGGCGAACUUGAACAUGGCUGAGUUACACGGCACGCCAAGCUUCUUGUGAGCACACUCCACAAUUCCCUUGAUACCCUCUGGCUUCAACAUGAACAUCCUAGGGACGAGUAAGAAGAGCUUGGCAAUACCAUCAUUAGUUAAGCCGCAUUUCAGCAGAAAAGCAAUGUUGGGCUUGACCUCACGCUCGACAUUAUGACCCAGGAGGUGUGGGUUCAUCUUGAGUACUGGGUGCACCUUGUCGUAUGAGCCCAGCAAAGAGAUGUAGAAUGCAAGACGGGGGAUCCUGAUGUGACUCUGCAAGGCAUUGGGCGCGACGGCGAUAAAGCGGGAGAUCUGCGUACGGGAGAGGCCGAUGUCACGGAGCUGGGCGAGUCGGGGGGUUAGGGUUUUGUCCACCCUAGCGCAGAGGAUCCGUGGGUCCCUGGAGAUUGCAGCGGCGAUGUCGGCUUUGGCGAGGCCGAUGUCGGCGAAGAAAGCGAGGACGGCCUCUGGGUUGGAUGGGGAUUUGAGGUGGACGAGGUACCUGGAGGAUCUGAGGGCUUGCACCGGCGUAAGGCCGCAGGUGGUGAUGAGGAAUUCCUCGGGAACAAAGUGAGCGUGGGGUGCGGUGGCGGUGGAGAGGUGGAGGAGGCGGUUGAGCAAGGAAUCGGGAGGGAGAGGAGAGGCCGCGCGGCCAGCGGAGAGGAGGUGGCUUCGGAGGCGCAGCAUCGCAGCUCCGGCGACAGCGGCGCGCGUGUGCUGACGCUUACAGUCAAGACCCGGCUAUUCUCGGUUGGGGUUUCCUUAGUGGGCCGGUCGAGUUGAGUUCAUGGCUGCGCCGACUGGGUGGGCUUGAUGGGGUGGCCCAUGGGGGUGUCAUCGGCGCCGGAGCCACUAGGCCCAGCUUCACAAUCGGAUCCUGAUUCACCCGGCCCAUAUAAGGAGUUGGGUCGCGAACAUUAUGAACGGGGUAACCUUUGCCGUGCAUCAAGCCAUCAACAACGGCGCAGGGCCAGCCAUACAAUUUCGGCCUAUCUCUAGCUAAUCUUUACCUAUUAUUAAAGCAAGUAAUGCCUGUGCCUGGAUUGUCGUCCGUCGUGGUCAUUUUGCAAAAAACCCCCUGACGUUUCGUGAAAUCAACCCGCAUUCCACUUUUGAAGAGACGGGGGGCUCGGUUGCUAAAAAGUGCAAAGGGAGGGUGUUAAAGGUGAAACGAGUAACGUCUCUGCCACAUUUUCGUCCGCCAUCCUAUUUUUCAGAAAAGCCCCUGAAGUUUUUAGAAAUCAACCCGCAGUCCAUAUUGUAAAGAGAAAGGGGUUCGGGUGAUAAAAGGAGAGAAGAGGGGGAGGUUCCUCGAAAUAGUGCCAGCAUCAGUCCCCACCCGCUUACUGCGUCAGCCACCAAGAAAUCGCUAGGUGCACCCGGUAAGUGCACACGUCUUUUUACCUAGAGCCCUUCCCUUGUCCCAAAAAUUCCUCAAAAAUUCUCAAAAAUACUAAAUAAUAUCCUAUGCCUGUCCAUGCCUUUCUUUUCUAUUUUUCAUCUCAUAUGAGCUCUAUUUUUCUGUAUCACUGGAGCAACGUGUGAGCGUGUCCAUAUCCAACCGCGCGGAGACCGCACACGCAACAAACUGCCGGAGCAACGCGAUAAAAAUGUUACGCAACAUGAUAAAAAAUAUGGUGCGCUAUAUGACACGAUAAAAAACAUUGUGCGCUAAGUAACGUCGUUUCGCCGUAGCAACGCACGGGCAUCUUGCUAGUAUUAUAUACAGGUGAAGAUAAAAGAUUUCAAAAACUGCAAGUUGAUUAUAAAAAAUUUAAGGGAUUUUUUUGCAAAGCUACCGGAUAAUAAAGUGCGGAAGUAAUUCUUCGUGCGAUCUGCCUAAAUUUUGGUUUUUCGUCCGUCGACGUAGAGUCCCGGUGUAAUACCGUUUCCUACACGUGUGGCGGUAAUUGAAAGUGAAAUUGGAACUGGAACCGGAACCAAAUUCUUAUUGGCUGCAAUAUAAAAAUCAAUCUAACCCAACCCUACAACUACGGACAAGAAGAAGCUUGAAAAGAACCACAUGUACGCCAGUGGGAGGCCGAUGUCCCGGGCAAUGGCGGGCUCAUCAUCGAUAUGCGCUCCGAGGUUGCCGAGCCCGUUCCCGAUUCCACCGCACGGCACCCGAGUCAUGGUGUGGCGGAUCCACUUCGGAUUUGCUUGAUUAGACAUGAUUAAACCGCCUGAUACGUGACGCUCAUGCCUUAACCAAGUAAACACGAAGUGCCGUCGGAUUUCAUCCGAUUUAACCACUUGAACAGGACCGAAUAGCAAACCCACACGAAGGUGAGCGGUUCCAGAGAAUACAACAGGUCCACUGAGUUAACAAAAUAACCAUUUAGUUUGGUCAUAAACAACAUCAGAGUUUACAAGGUUCAGAAGAAAAUAACAGAAGAUAAAACAACACGCGGAAGCUACUUCGUCGGGGUCGGAUAUCCCUGGUGAGGCCAACCGGGACAUCAGUGAUCCCUCUCUUCGCCGUCCAAGGAGGGAUCUCACUCAACCGUCCAACCCGGAGGGAGUUGGGACGGCCAAGUGCCAGCAGAGGGAGGCUCAGAUGCAGCAACUUCACCUAAAAAAGAAGAGCCACAACAAGGCUGAGCUACUAAGCUCAACAGGACUUAACCGACACGGAGUACGCUACUCCACCACUUCUAGACAUGCACGGCUUUUUGGCUGAGGGGUUUGUUUGCCAAAACCGUUAGUUGUAUCCCUACUUUCAAGUUUUAGCUCAGGUUCUAAGUUUACUAUCUGGUCUAAGUUUGCAACCUACUUCUAAACAAACAUAGAACCAACCAAAGGUAUAUACAUCAUCAUCAAGACCAUGUCAUCAUCAGAUUCCUUUAUUACUCAGGGUGACAUAGCGAUCAAGCAAUCUCAAACUGUGAGAGGCAGAUGAAUCGAUUCGAGUUUCUUAACCAUGCAUGGCGAACCUAAUCUCACGACAUCCGCGCACCGCAAGGGUCGCUUCCUGUGUCGGCCGUCCCCAUCAAUUUCCAGGCGCGUGUCAGGUCCAAACUUCCCUUGGCAUGCAAUGCUCCACAGUCCCGGUCUCUACCGUACUGUGACUGCACUUGAACCCACAUGAUGCACCAUGGGAACCUCGUUCCAGGGAUAGCAGGGGUAUAAGUCAUGCCCUAGUUCAAUCAGGUACUAGGCUUUCCUAUCCCAUACUAGGUAUGAGAUUAGUACUUUCAAACACUUGAUCACGAACACCACCACUGUCGGGCCUUAGCAAGUUUUAUAGACAGAUGGGGCGAUCAACCGACCACCAAAGAGUUACCCAAAACCUUGCCCCGUCCAUCGUCCUUAUAGUCGUAAUAGAAGAGGAACAACCAACUCCUACAACUCGCGAAGCAUCUACUCGGUCCAACAGCUAGUGUUCAGAUCAAGGGAGCUAAGUUGUGCAUCUAUGGUUCCAAACAACUCCUAUACGUAAAUGCACAAGCAUGUUAAAGAAGGCAUGCGCAAGUUUGGUAAAACACAGGGGAUUCAUGCAUCCGAGGCUUGCCUUCGAGCAAGGAGGAGGGAAACUGUUCGUCUGCUUGGUCGGCUUCGGCUUCUGGAGGCAGGAGCUCGACUACACCUUCGUCUUCUGGCGCCGGGUGCAGCUCGUAGAAGCCGUCGGCGAGGCGCAGCUCUACACGAAUGCAAUGCAUUGGUUAGCGUUUAGAUGGUUAUUUCAACAGCAACACUUGCAAGUUUGAGCCCAGAAACUUGCGGCAAGUUACAGGAGGGUGGGGAGGUUCGAUUGAGUUGGUGGAGAUCAAGAUAUAAGGGUCGGAUGGGAAGGAACUUAUGAUCUGACCCUUAAUCUAGAGGAAUAGGUGCUAGGGGUCCUCAAACUUAACGCUGAAAAGUCCCCAAGUUUACACAUACACCCUCGGUUCAAGGAAAAAGAUACAGCCGAGCCCUCGGGCGAGGCGGAAAAAGUUCGGCGGGACAGACAGGGUCGGGCGAGACGGAACCGGGGUCGGGCGGAUAGGAGGGGUCGGACGAGGCGAACAAGGGUCGGUAGCUUACCUUCGUCUUACAGAUGAGGCUUGGGGUUGGGAAAGAACAGGCUUGGGCGGAAAGACUAAGGCUUGGAACAGCGGCGAGGAUGUCCGGUGGUACUCCGACGGCGGCGGUGCUUCUUGUGGAUCACAAGCAAGCUCUUGUGCAGCACGGGGAGCAGAGGCUGGUGGAUUGGGGGAAGGUGGUGUUUGAGCGGAGAGGAGAGUUCCUCAGACUUAGGCGGUGGCGCUGUGAGCACGAACAGGGAGCAAACGGGAGGGCAGCGAUGGCAAGGGGAACUCCGGCGGGGCUCCGGCAUUCCCUUUUUAUAGCUGCGCGGAAGAGAGAAGGGGGAGCGGCGCGAAGGCCGGGGAAGAGCGAUGGAGUGCUCUGCCGGGGCGGCGAUUGAGCGAUGAGGGUGGUGGAGCAGGACUUUGGGGAUGACAUCGGCGGUCAUUGGGCACCGAUGUCAGGGCGGCGCAGGCGCGGGUUUGCCGGUGGUUGAGAUUUGGCGGAGGUGGGCGUCGUCGUGCGGUGGAUCUGAUGGAAGUGACCGGGGAAACGGCGCUAGAAACGAGGGCGCACAGGUGAGAAGACAGGCGGCUGCGGGCGCGCGGGCGAGCGUGGAGCAAUAGAUUGUCGGGCGGAGCUUCUGACAAGGCGGAAAAGGAGCUGUCGCUGCCGCGGUCUAGGUUGGCGGAGGAGGAAUCGUCGCGUAGCGAGGACCGAGGCGGCGCGACUGUGGAGAGGUGACGGAAAAGAUGGGCAGCAUCGGGCUCUGCAGUCGGGAUCUGGCGAUGUGAUGAUGGGCGCGGGCGGCGAGGUGCUGCAGAAAGGGUAGCAGAGGAGCUUCCGCCGCGAUUGGGGAAGGGAGCGCGAGAAUCCAUCCGGUCGUGGCCGGAGCAGCGGACGUCGGAGGAGUUGAGUCACGCGGCUAGGGAACUCUGAAGUGGGCAUGCAACUCGAGUGCGCCUGUCGUGGGAGAUCUGGGAGAAAGAUCUCGUGGGUCCACCGGUCAGUCUCGGUGGUCCACGGCUCAAAUUGAAGGGCGGCAUUAUGGGAAGACUUAGAAAGAUCCGAUGGUGGGUUGGGGGUCUGCGGGGUUGGAACUGGGGAGGACACGGCGAGGAGUCGGAUCACAGGGGGUCGGGAGAUCUGGAGGUUGAGCACUUAGGCUUGGUAAACUGAGACAGGUGUGGCGGAUCCACUUCGGAUUUGCUUGGUUAAACAUGAUUUAGCCGCCUGAUAUGCGACGCUCAUGCCUAAGCCGAGUUAACACGAAGUGCCGUCGGAUUUUCCUCCGAUUUAACCACUUGAACAGGACCUUUUUAGCAGACUCACACGAAGGUGAGCGGUUCCAGAGAGUACAACAAGUCCACCGAGUUAACCACUUAACCAUUGGAUUUAGUUGCGAAAAACAUCAGAGUUUUACAAGAUUUCAGAAAACAACAGAAGGUAAAACACUAGCGGAAGCAAUCGUCGGGGUCGGACGUCCUGGUGAGGCCAGACGGGACAUCAUUGAUCCCUCUCCUCGCCGUCCGAGAAGGGAUCCCACUCGACCGUCCAACCCGGAGGGAGCUGGCGGCCAAGUGCCAGCAAGAGAGGGGUCGGGGGCAGCAACUUCACCUGAAAAACAGGAGCCACAACAAGGCUGAGCUACUAAGCUCAACAAGACUUAACCGACAGGAGUAAAACUACUCCACCAUCUAGACAUGCAGGGCUUUUUGGCUGAGAGGUUUGUUUGCCAAAAGCACUGAGUAAACCCUACUUUCAAGUUUUAGCUCCGAUUCUAAGUUCUUUAACUAGUAUAGGUUUUGCAACCUAUUCUAAGCAAUCAUAGAGCCAAACAAGGUAUGUGUAUCAACAAAUCCAUGUCAUCAUCAGAUUCCUUAUUUACUCAGGGUGACAUAGCGAUCAAGCAAUCUCAAACUGUGAGAGGCAGACGAAUCGAUUCGAGUUCUUUAACCAUGCAUGGUGAACCUAGCCUCACGACAUCCGCGCACCCGGAGGUCGCUUCCUGUGUCGGCCUUCCCCAUCAAUCCCCUAACCCGUGUCGGGCCUAUUUCCUUUGGUGCAAGGUUCCACAGACCCGGCCUCUGCCGUUCUGUGACCAUGCAUGCCACCACGUGCGACAUCCAGCAAGGGAAACUCCGUUCCAAGAACAAUGGGGCGACCGCUCACGUCUAGGUUCAAUCCGGUACUAGGCUUCCUCAUCCCAUACUAAGUAUGAGGCUAGUACUUUCAAACACUUGAUCACGAACACCACCACUGUCGGGCCUUAACAAGUUUCAUAGAUAGACGGGGCGAUCAACCGACCACCAAAGAGUUACCCAAACCCUGCCCCGUCCAUCGUCCUUAUAGUUAUAACAGAAGGGUAGACAUCCAACUCCUACAACUCGCGAGUGAUAGGGAAUCACUCGGCUUUUACCGUCUCCUAGUUAAGCAAGGCAACUACUCGGUCCAACAGCUAGUGUUCAGAUCAUAGGAAACUAGGUCAUGCAUCUAGGGUUUCAAACAAUUCCUAUACGUAAGUGCACAAGCGUGUUACAGAAGGCAUGCACAAGUUUGGAAAAUAACGCAGGGUUUUCAUGCAACCGAGACUUGCCUUCAAGCAAGGAGGAAGAGAACUGCUCGACUUCGGGGGCGACUUCGGCUUCUGGGGGCAGGAGCUCAGCUACAGCUUUGUCUUCUGGCGCCGGGUGCAACUCGUAGAAGCCGUCGGCGAGGCGCAGCUCUACACGAAUGCAAUGCAAGAGUUAGCUUAGACGGUUAUUUCCACAGCAACACUUGCUCGCCUGAGCCCAGAAACUCGCGACAAAGAGCAGGAGGGUGGGGAGGUUCAAAGGAGUUGGUGGAGAUCAAGAGGUGAGGGUUGGAAAGGAACUUAUGAUCUGGUCCUUCAACUAGAGGGUUUGGUAUGCUAGGGAUCCUCAGACUCAAGCGCUGAAAGGUUUCCCAAGUUUUACACAUACACCCUCGGUUGAAGAAAAAAAUCACAGCCGAGCCCUCGGGCGAGGCGGAUAAGGGUCGGUCGGAACAGAUAGGGUCGGGCGAGACGGAACCGGGGGAGGGCGGAUAAGUGGGGUCGGGCGAAGCGGACUGGGGUCGGCAGCUUACCUUCUUCCUACAAGGAAAGCUUGGGGUCGGGAAGAAGCAGACUUGGGCGGAGGGACUAAGGCUUUGAACAACGGCUAAGACCGGCAGUGCUCCGGCGGCGGCGGUGCUUCUUGUGGAUCACAAGUGAGCUUUUACGCAGCACUGAGGAGCAAGCGGCUGGGUGGCUUAGGGAAAACGGAGGGGAGCUGAGAGGAGAGUUCCUCAAGAACUUUAAGGUGUGGUGCUAGGAGCUUGAGCAGGGAGCAAGAGAUGUGGCGGAAGGCAACAAUGGCGGAGGGAACUCCGGCGGGCUUGCGCAUUCCCUUUUAUAGCUGCUGGGAUAGGGAAGGGAGCGGCGCGGGAGAGAGAGAAGGGGAGUGGCGCGAAGGCCGGGGAAGAAGCAAUGGAGUGCUCUGCUUGGACGGCGAUUGAGCGACGGGGGCGGUGGUGCAGGACUUCGGAGAUGACGCCAGCGGUCAUUGGGUUCUGGCGUCAGGGUGGCGCAGGAGCGGGUAUGCCGGUGGUUGAGAUUUGGCGGAGGCGGGCGUCGCCGUGCGGAAGAUUUGAUGGACGCGACCGGGUUAACGGCGCUAGAAUCGAGGAUGCACAGGUGAAAAGACAUGCAGCCGCGGGCGCGCGGGCGAGCGCGGAGCAACAGAUUGUCGGGCGGCUUCUGACAGGGCGGGGGAAAGGAGCUGUCGCUGCCGUAGUCGGGGUUGGCGAAGGAGGAAUCGUCGGGUAGCGAAGACCAGGCGGCGUGACUGUGUCCGAAGUGACGGAAAAGAUGGGCGACAUUGGGCUCUGCGGCCGGGAUCUGGCGGUGUGAUGAUGGGCGCGGGAGGCGAGGCGCGACAGAAAGGUUGCAGAGGGGCUUCCGCUGCCAUUAGGGAAGGGGGCGCGAGAAUCCAUUCGGUCGCGAGCUAGAGACAAAACUGAGCGGCGGGCGUCGGAGAAGAUGAGCCACGCGGCGGGGAGACUCUGAAGCGGGCAUGCAACUCGAAUGCGCCUGCCGCGGAAGAUCUGGGGGGAAAAAGAUCUCGCGGGUCCACCGGUCAGACAGAACGGACGUUUGGGAAAGACUUAGAAGGAUCUGACGGUGAGCUGGGUUUGGCGGGGUCGGGAUCGGAGCGAAGCGGGGAGGGAUCGGGUCUCAAGGGUCGGGACCGAUCGGAAGAUUGAACUUUCAGGCGCGGCAAACGAGACAGAUGACUAUGAACAAGGGCUAGGAUAGGAUUAACCUGGAAAGAUUAGGGGGCCGGUCGUCACAACAGGGGAUCAGGGACUCGGAUUAAGAUUAACGCGAAGGAUUUUUAACCGAGGUCGUCACACAUUGGCCUGUUCGCUUCAGUUUAUAAGCCGGCUGAAAAGUUGAAAUAGGUGAUUUGUUGUGAGAGAAAAAUACUGUUUGGUGGCUGAUAAGCCGGCUGAAUAAGCUGAAGCGAACAGGCCAAUUAGAGGAUUAUCCGGCGAGUUGAUGGCCAACCUUCUGCACUCUCUGUGCUUUAUACAUGGAGAUCAAAGCGGAUGUCCUCUGUCGUCUACCGCUGUGCAGGUUCUUCAUCACCUCACACGGUGCGUCUGCAAAUCGCGGCAGGGUCUCAUGGACGCGCCAGCUGCAGCUUCCGCACGCCAGCCUCUUCGUUAACUACCUCGAGCACGAGAGGCUGCACUUCUUCGUCGCCCGCUAAUCGAGCACGGCGACACGCAGAGUCGCAGAUCAAGCACGGCCUUCUCUGGGUGGACUGAGGCAAGAGUGCAGUCGGAUGAGGAAUUGAAGCGGAGCUCCCCGAAGCUCGGCGAGGAACUGCGGGCGAGCCGCCUGGUGGGUGAGCGAGCUGCAUGCAAGCCGAGGAGGCAGCGACGGAAACAAUGGGGAUCAACCUACGGCCAACUGUGCCUCUAAUCAAGCCAACGUGUUAGAGAGUUUUGUAGCAAGAAUAGUUCAAAUGGAUUUACCAGGACUCCAUGAGUGCAUGACAAUCUAGAGAGAAAGGAGAGGGCUCGGUUUCACCAUUAAUGGAGGAAUCUGGCCAGCAGAGCUGUUGCCCAGCUACUUGCUCCUCUCUGUUUUAGCGGUGGUCGGGGGAUACACCGAGAUAGAGGAGGGGGCAGCUCAGCCAGACGGAAACAGAAAAAUACACACACACACACACACACAGAGAGAGAGAGAGAGAGAGAGCGCUGCAGGUGAAAGGAAAAGGUACAGCACGGCCACGCGACGCCACGACCCACGCGUCCAACUGCUGGUAUGUGGGGAGGGGCAGAGAGAGAGAAAGGGAGGUGAUGUGUCUACCGGGGUCUUAUGUGAUUCAAUUUCCAAUUCACUUUUCUAUUUUAAUUAGCUAUAAAUGGCAUUAAAAUUCUCUAGCUAUUUUCACCAUCUGUACAAAAGUUAAAGUUAUAGGUUCUGAAAUAUUCAAAUUAAAUCUAAACAACACUGUGGUUAUUCAACCGUACAGUACAAUGACCACAGUUAGAUUACUUACGGGGACGGAAGGAAUUACUUAAUCAAAUCAAAAUUUUACUUUACAAAAGUGUACCGAUCAUAUAAUAUUAAAAAGAUUAAAAUGAGGAGGUACCCUCAGAAAAGCUAAAGUAUAUCCGUCCUAAUGCUAUCCUUCAAACCAAACACAAAACAUGAUUCUUCCAUACUUUUAUCCCUCCAAUAGAACUAUGAUCAUCCCAUCCCAUCCCAAAAAUAAAGAAAAGUCUUCUCGAACCAAAUACAUGCUAAAAGAAUUUGUUUUUGCCGUGAUGAGGCAUGGCCAUUGUGCUAUACCCUAUAUAAUUCACUAAUAUUUUAUUCUCACACAACUUUGAUAAUAUUUUCUGGGUCCAGCCAAUUUAUGAAUGUAGGAACCUUUUUAUACAAAAUGAAGCGCUUAGAUUUCGUCCUUAACUCAAAGCUGAUUAAUCCCUACGGUAAAAGAGAGCAACAUUUUUAUUAUCUUCGUCCAUGCACGAAACCACGAAAAAUAAGGAGAAAACUGGAAAUGUCGCACAAUGAGAUUACAUAAUAAAUAACAUUUUUAAAAUCAUGCUUAAAACCAUAGUGUGAUACACAUAUGCUCUUUACCCGUAGCAACGCAUGGGCAUAUUUUGUAGUAUGUUACAAAGUCACUCUAAAAAAAUCUAUACAAAAAAUUUCCAUCACCCUUCUUUUUUAAAAACAUUUUUCCGAAAGGGAGGCUAUAUUAACGCAGCAAGGCCAUGGGCGUUGCAAUGACCACAAAUAGUUGCCAUUGCCGUUCCCAAACUUCAUCCGUUGCCUGUGAGACUGUGAAGCUGCUUUCCAAUAUCAAAGCUUCCAUGCACUCUGGACCCCAAUGGAGCGGAAAAUUCGGCGCAGCAGUUGGCCGUGUUGACGAUGCUGAGCCGCGGUACGAGCCACCGAGACGAGUUGGCGUCAGGUGCGCCAUUGAUUCGAGCGUUAGAGCCAGGCUAAUAAUUUAGCCUGCGGCUGGCUAAAUGCAAGUGCCAUGUCAUAUAUAGCUGGUAAUAUAGCUAGCUCAUAUAUAGUGUGUUUGGUUACAUGGUUUAGAUCUAGCUUGAUUAAGAUCUAGCCUGGCUCAGCUAGUACGUCCGAUUCGGUCGUACUAGUGUAGCCUGGCUUAGGUGCUUUUUUUGCAUUGCGCUGGCCUGGCUAUGUACUCUGGACAGGCAAUCAAACAAUCACAAGCUGUAUUAACUUAGCCAGGCAACCAAACACAACCUAACUUGGCUUGGCGACUAUAAUAAAGAUGCAAGUCUUCAAUGCUUGCUGUUCAUACCAUCUGUUGUUGUGGCUUAUAUCUUUGUAGCCAUUUAUCAAACAACAUGAUAAGUAUCCCAUACAAUAUAAUCUCAUUCAUUCGUUUUUAAACAGCAUAGUUUAUUUAAUAUCUAGAUAACAGGCAUACAAUAUUGGACACUUUGAUUUGUGCUCUGAAAAAUAAGGAAGCACCACAUAAUAAGCAACAUUCUUUAUCUUAGUACAUCAUACCAAGUAUCUAAAACAUGUAUCUAAGUACACCUCAAAUUCGUAUAAACAAGUAGAAUAGACUGGAAUUGUAUAAAGUGUAAAGCUUCAUCGAGACAGAGAAUAGACUGGAAUCAUAUAAAGUACGCUGCUUGACAGGGAUAAGAUUCUAUAAUCACAAACAAUUGCUCUGAGCUAAACAUUGUGGUAGUUAACAAGACACUGCUUUGAGCAAAUAGUAGAUGAUGUUGCCAAUACACGGAACAAGAGGCCGUUGCUACAUAACGAUUAAGAGAUGCAGGUCAUACUUGCAUCCGAAGAUUCAGAGAUGCAGCCUUCAUCCAUACAAACUAGAGAGAGGCAGUACAUGAUUGUCCAACGGUAGAACGGAAUGAGCCCUUCAUCAUCUACGAAAAAACUACAGAGACGCAGUACAGAUGGCCGGCGGCAGUGGCGCUGUCGAGUGUCGACCCGUCAUGCGGAGGCUCUGGCGACGGUUGGGGACGAUUUGGGCAUGAAGAUGGGGAUUUAUGCUUUGCUCAUCGGUUCAAUCUGGCGCACGAGAAAUAGCUUUGGCGUGCAAGGAAGGCGGGGUGGAGCACUGGAUCGGGAGGGAGGAAGGCGGGCCAGCAAGCGCCGGCCUUGUCGCCUGCACGGGGCUGGAAGCAUGCGCUUUUCUCUCGGGAGAUGAGUUUCAGCCGGGCGACUCGCCAUCCGCCCGGUUCAUUCUCUAUCCUCUCCUCGCCUGUCCCUCUCUUCCACCUAGGAUUUUAAUGACGUGGAACAUCUUGCAGCCUCUUACGUACUCCCUCCAUCCCUAAAUAACUGUCGUUUUCGCUUCCCGAGAAACAACUUUAACUAAAUACAUAUAAAAAUAUUAAUAUUUAUGAUACAAAUUUAAUAUCAAUAGACAGAUAUUUGAAUCUAAUUUUUUAAUAAAUUUAUUUGAAGAUACAAAUAGUGCACGUAUUUUCUACAAAUUCAGUUAAAAUUAUGAUAUGGAAAUAAAAAAUAACAGUUAUUUAGGUGCGGAGGAAGUACGCCGCAUCGGAUGGCCUUGACGCCGCGGCGGGGAGCUGCUCCAGAUCCAUGAUUGGAGCGUGAUGGGCGGCACGGGCCAUAGUAUCGGACAAUACCCCGGUCCUCGGACAAAGCUGCCCGCGCGGACAGGGAAAGGCACCGGCCAGAUCUUUACCUGCCGGAUGAAUGUCCCGGCAGGCAGGAUGAAAACUUCGGCCAGAUCAAUCACGCCGUACUACAUGGAAGUUUCUACCGUCACUGUACUGUCAAACCUACGAUUUACCGAGACACUGUCACCGUACACUUGGAUUGGGAUUCUCCCAUCUCGUUGUGCAUGGUAGAAACUUUCAAAACCGCCAACGAUCUCAUUGCAUCGAGUCAUCGUCUCAUCGACUCGGGAAUUAAAACUCCUAACCAACGCCACCACGGCUGUACAACCUGUAGAGAGGUUGCAUCGCAGGCUUGCAGCGCGGCGGAGGUCGUGCCCGUCACGUUGUCACCACUCCGUCGCCUCUUCCUCGCGGCGGAGCGAAUUAAAGGCCCUUAUCCUCUCUGCCGCUGGCGCUCGCUGCCACCGAUCGUUGGAUCCAACCAUCUCCCCCCUCGCCGCCCGCCCGCCCGCCCGCGCCCUUUGUCUUGGAGCCUUGCGCCGCGGUCCUUUCCCCCUGUCCGAAUCCGCCUCGACGUGUCCGCCUCCUCCCUCCCUUCCCUCCCUUCCCUCCUCGUGCGCUCGCCUUUUGGUGCGCUCUUGGUAUCUGUGCUCUUCCUCCCGUGCCCCUCGUCCUCCUCGUCUCUGCCACGCUUCCUUAUUCUUGUCUUGCUUGCUACCCCGGCCGCACUCUUCUUCUCUCGGCUGACGCCGCCAUUGCGCGCGAGAGCUGUGCGCGGCGGAGCGUGACGAUGUCGUCAGCGGUGGAGGCCAUCUCCUGCUCCAAGGUCGACGUCCCCGCGGCGCCGGAGCCGGAGGCGGCGGCGGCGGCGGUCAAGAAUGCAGCGGCGCCAUCGGAGAACGGCGAUGCGGCGAACGGCAAGUGUGGCGAGGCGACGCCGCAUUGCCACGACGACGAGGAGGAGGAGGAGGAGGCCCCCAAGGUCAUCGACCUCGGCCCCCGGGUCAGCAUCAAGGACCAGCUCGAGAAGGACAAGGUACGUGGGCUCGCUGCCAUUGCUGCUAAAAAUACGUCCCCAUCUCGAUCCAUGUCUAUGAUCUUGCUCUUCUUUCGGUUACGAGUAGCUUCAGUUUCAGUGCGUUUCUUCAUUUCAUUUCUUGGCCGCGUUCGAUUCACAGGACGACGAGAGCCUGCGGCGAUGGAAGGAGCAGCUCCUCGGCAGCGUGGAUUUGAACUCCGUGGGAGGUAAACUAAACUCACGGCAACAGGACACUAAAUUUUCCUGCCGAAUUGCUGGUCGCGUGCGUUCGAUUGGCUCGCGCGCGUCCUCGCGGCCUAGUUUAAUGGCGCCAGUGGGGUGGGGCAACGGCACAUGCCGCAGCUCCGCAUGUGAGAGAGCACCGCCAUGGCUGCCGAGAUGGUCCCGUGACCGUGAGGCCGUGAGCCAUUCGUUUGUUUCCCACCCCGUGCCUAACCCCGUUUCCUCCCUCGCUAAUGCGCCACCGGCCACACCCCGUACCGUACGGUGAGGUCCGUGUUGCGUUUUGCCGUAGGAAAUAAAGACGCAGGGGUGAAGGUCGGUGGCCUGUGGUGGGCUCGGUUGACGGUUAGAUACGUCGGCUGGCCGGCCGGCCGGCCACCGGCUUCCCUGCCUUUUCAUGCCGACCAGUUGAAGGAGAGGAGCACUAGUUUUUCUUGAAUGCAUGGUUAUAUGGUCUUCUUCUGCAAUGUCCAGGACUGUAGUAGUAGAACUAGAGCAGGAUAUCAAUAUCAGCAGUCAGCACCUUCCAAUCCUGGAAAAUGGCAUGCUGGUUGUUGGGCUGCUAUAGUUGAAUGGUGCUGCUUUUGCUGCUUUUAAGGUCAGCGCAUUUUGCAGGGCAUUUUUCAAGGAGCCCUUGCUUUUAGUUUAGACUUUUUACUUUUUAGACGAACGCUAAACACAUUUUCAUGCGUCUCGUGUUUUUGUUUAAUGUUAAGCACCUUCUGAACAAUCCAUGUCCCAAGUCGAAGUAGCACAUUCGAAACUUUUUUCGGCCAUUUAAAUGGGAGAUGCAAGUAUCUCGAUCAAGUAGCACAUUCAAAAUUUUUGCUGCUUUUAAGAUGAGCGCAUUUUCUCAGGGCGUUGUUGAAGGAGACCCUUGCUUUUGGUUUAGACUUUUUAGACGGUGUUAUACACAUUUUCAUGCAUUUCGUAUUUUUGUUCAGUGUUAAGCACCUUCCCGGUUUCAGUAGUGUUGGACACAUUUUCAUGCCUUGCGUAUUCAGAAUAAGCCCUGCUCUCCAUUAGAAUACAGAAUUCAGAGCAAUUCAGGUUUGAAAUUCAAGUAGCACGUUCAGAACCUUUUCAGCCAUUUGAGUGGGAGAUGCAGUAAUUCCGAUCUCGAAGUGAAGUGAAAAUUAAUACCAUCUGAAUUUGAUGCCAUAAGCAGAUCUGAAUUUUGAACCUCCUGUACGUUUGCAGAGACGCUGGAGCCGGACGUGAAGAUCAUGAGCCUGUCGAUCCUGUCGCCCGGCCGUCCCGACAUCUUCCUGCCGCUACCGGUGGAGCCCAACGCCAAGGGCGUGUGGUUCACCCUCAAGGAAGGCUCCCCAUACCGCCUCAAGUUCACCUUCUCCGUCACCAACAACAUCGUCUCCGGCCUCCGCUACACCAACACCGUCUGGAAGACCGGCCUCAAAGGUGAGACACCAACCGCCGGGAUCACGCCAUUUCCGCGCACGACCACGUUCCGGUCAUCGCCCUUGAUCAAUGAUCACACAGCUCACGGUCUGCUGGUUGUUCGCAGUUGACAGGGCCAAGGAGAUGCUCGGCACGUUCAGCCCCCAGCUGGAGCCCUACACGUACGUGACGCCGGAGGACACCACCCCGUCGGGAAUGUUUGCCCGGGGCUCCUACUCCGCCAGGACCAAGGUAAAUUAAAUCACAUGACGAGGACGAGAUCAUUCGGUUAAUUCAGGGCAGGGGUGGUCAAUAGCAAGCGGUAACUUCAGGGUUCAGAAUGAAGGUUUAUGUGACAGACAUCUUUGUUUUUUUGGCAGUUCCUCGACGACGACCGGAAGUGCUACCUGGAGAUCAACUACACCUUCGACAUCCGCCGGGAGUGGCCGUCGACGAGCUGAUCACAGCAGCUAUCGGCGGCGGCGAGGCCGGCCUGCUCGAGUCCCUGCUUCAACGUUGCUGUGCCGGAGCAGACCACUCGUUUCGUUUGUGUUUUUGCUCUUCUGCUGGGUUCAACGGUUCAUCCUGUCCCUGGGUUUUUAUAUUCGUCAUGUGCGUGCGUGUGUGAAUAUCGUUUCCAUUUGUCAGUUGGCUGUUGUGUUGGUAACGUUGGCAGACGGGCACGGUGAGGUCGGUCCAUCGGUCUGUGCGUGCGUGGGCGUGUUGAACUUACGUCAGGGUCUGUCUCGUCUUCGAACUGCCUGUUGAGUUCAGAGCAAUGAAUUGAAGCUGCGUUCUACGUGAUGCACUCGUGACCUUGAUUUUGUUUUGUGAAUGCAGCUCGUCGAUUUUAUUGUUUCGGCAUCGACGCAUCGUUAUACUGGGGAUCGGGUAACUUGAUAACUUUUGAAACCCCUGGCAACAUGACAUCUCGAAGGCAGUAAUCAGUAGCUGUGGGCGUGCAGUUUUCAGCUCACUUUGUGUUCGGUCGUUCUAUUUUCUUUCAUCGAGUCAUGCCGUAAAAGCUCAGCAUCAUUUCCGCACCAUGACGAACGAAGCAUUAUUCAGUCAGUGCCGAAUCGAUCGACCAAUCUGGGAGUUUAAUCCUUGACACUAGAACCAGAGACCAGGUCAGAGGAUGCAGAUGCCUGGGAAAAAAGGUGCGGCCGUGGACCUUGGUUGUUGAGCUCGGCAUUGACGCUGGCGCUUGCCUGUUGCCAAUAUGGUCCAGAGGCAAAAAUCGGCCUCAUGCUAGGGCCCAGAGGGCCGAAUAAACAGGUCAAGGCAGGCUGACGAAAAGAGAAUGGUCUGAUCACGCAAGGGGCCAGGCCGACCAAUCCAAACCGGUCUAGUUUGGCCCAUCACGGGCCGGAACAGAGAGACUACAUGUGGUGAAUCUGUCUGCUGACCUUCCUUCCGUCGAGCCAACUCGAGCUAAGAAAAUAAAAGACGUCGCUUCACGUGAGCGGAGUAAAAAUCGUCACGCUACAAAAGACGUGUGGGCACGUUCACGCACGCCCGCGGCUCUCUCCACCUCGUCGGUCGCAUGUGCCAUGUGAGUAUGCGACCAGACGGAGCGAGCAGAGCAAACCCGGCACAUACUUUAUUCGGAGAGCUGAGAACUCCCGCUCCUUUUCCCUCCGAACUCGGCAAUUGGCACCUGCCGCCUUUCUCCUCUUGUUCUUGCCGUCGGACCACACGCGGUAAAGAGGCCCGGCGGCAGGAGCCCGAGCGAGAUCCACGCUCAAUAUACAAAGCCUAAGGAAUGUACUGGUGACCGACGCAGCUGUACGUGCCGUCGGUGCCGAUGCCGCUAUUUGGUUUUGGCCGGUUUAUAUAUAUGCUGCUUGGGCUCGUGGCUGCAAGCCUGGCGAUCUGGAACUUUCGGAGAAUGCGUUUAGCCGGGCGCUGGGACGUCAGCGCGAGACAAUUUUUGACAGGGGGAGCGCAAUUUGUCAGCUUGGCUGGCUGCGUACACGCCCGCCCAGGCCCGUGCGAUGGUCGCUUGUUUCCCGCCGUCUACUUUACGGUGAUCUCCCCAAGGCGUUUCCCUUUCACGUCCGACGCGUGAUGGGAGUAGGCGAGUUGUUCGAACGCCCAUGCACAGAAAUGUUACUGCAUUCUUUUGGCGUUUUCUCUUCAAUUCUUUUACUUGUUGGAACCGAAAAAUUGUAGUCACCGUUAGUCACAGGUUUUUCUCUGCAAUUCUAAAUAUUUGUGCCUCCCCAUUUCUGCUGCGGAAGAAGGAGGUGACGAGGCGUACGUGUGCCCACGAGCGGUCGAACGGGGCCACGCGCGUCGCUGUGAUGGGGCCAAGGGCGGCGGCGAGGGCACAGUCAGGAAGCCAUGUGUUGUCCAUGUACGCAGAGCUGGUUCGUUCCGACGCGAACAGUGUCGAAGUCGGAACGCGCCAAGGCAAGGCCGGUGACGCUUUCGGCAACACGAAUCGCAAGGGGACAAAGAACGCGGGGUCAGGCGGUGGCCCGCGCCGAAUUGUCGGUCCGAUCUGGUAUCUCGUGCUGGGAUCGGCGCUGGCCGGUGGUGCAUUCCCCGGGCUCCUGAAUUUCUGUCCGAACAACCUGUGCAUCACCGGUUACCGUGUUAUUACCAACAUUAAUCACGAACCGUUUCUCUGUUUGCAGUCUUGUAGAGUGACUUGUAACAAUGUGACAGAUUAUCUAAUUGCUCGUUGAUGGUAAUGGAAGUUGCUUUCUGUGUAGAGAAACUGAAAAUGUUUAAUCAGUUCAGCCCUGAAGAAAUCAGUAGGAAGGGGGAGGGAAAAAAAAAGCAGUUUCCUGGAUUUGUUUACCUUUUCCAAAACCCCGGAGGAAACCUAAUUCGGCGACAGGAAACGGAAUAAACAAACAGAAAGAGACCGGGCCCACCGCUGCCCCUUACCUCCUCUCCUCGUCUCCACCACUUUCCCUCUGCACCCCGGCCCCCACGAAAUCUGGAGACCUGGACGCCAUUGCUCGCUAGCCUUUUCCGUCGAGCGCAAGGAAACCGCGCGCCACCACGGGAGGGAGGGAUUGCCGUGACCAAUUCGAAAGGUAUCUCCUCGCCGCGCCGCGCCGCCCCGUCGGCGGGACACGCCGUCUCCUCGUUGCUUUUUUUCACCCAGGGGUUCCAUUCCAUCCGGGCCGUGAGUGGCCUCCCUGAUCUGGAUUCCUCUCGCAGCCGCUGCGGGCGCGGGCGGAGUCGGGCCGCGGAGGUGGGGAGAUGUCCGCCGGAUUCGUCGGGGUCGUCGUGUCCGACCCCUCGCUGCAGGGGCAGUUCACGCAGGUCGAGCUCCGAUCGCUCAAGGCCAAGGUGACGUCCGAAUCCGUCGAUUCUCCCCUCCGCGCUGGAAACCCGCUGUUGUAUUGCGUUUGGUUCGUCAGUUUUGGUCCCGGUUGGUUAUUUUUGUUUUUGCCGGUGUUGCAGUUCGUGUCUCUGAAGAGAGAUUCCGGCCAUGUCACCACGAAGAAUCUGCCGGGGCUGAUGAAGAAGCUGAGGGGGCUCAAUGAGGUGGUCUCCGAGGAGGAGAUCGCCGCCUUCCUGUCGGAGUCGUACCCCGACAGCGAUCAGGAGAUUGAGUUCGAGUCCUUCCUCCGGGUACAUGCAUCUCGGCGUUUCUCUGAGUUCUCUGAGUUAUUGAAUUGUAAUGCGGACAGGAAUGGUGCGGUAUUCCCGAUUUAUUCUGAUGGGAGUGGGGAACCUGGCUCUGUUUCUGCAGGAGUAUCUGAAUCUGCAGGCGAGGGUGAGUGCCAAGGUAGGUGGUGGUGCUGGUGGUGGGGGUGGCAAGACCUCAUCGUCGUUCCUCAAGUCCAGCACCACUACGCUGCUGCACAAUCUCAAUCAGGCAGAGAAAUCGUCCUACGUGGCGCACAUCAACACUUAUCUCCGCGAAGACCCAUUUCUGAGGAAGUACUUGCCAAUCGACCCGUCUGGAAACCAGCUUUUUGAUCUGAUCAGGGAUGGUGUUCUGCUCUGGUGAGAUGGCUGUCUUGUUUCUAGCUAGUAGCAGAGUGCAUUCCCUUGAACUGGUUAAACGAAAUUUAUCUGAAGCUAGACCUUUCUGAUGGUUGCUCAUUUAUGGCUCAUUUUCUCAGCAAAUUGAUCAAUGUAGCUGUACCUGGGACCAUUGAUGAGAGAGCAAUAAAUAAGAAAAGAGUUCUUAAUCCAUGGGAGAGAAAUGAAAAUCAUACACUCUGCCUCAAUUCUGCCAAGGCCAUUGGAUGCACUGUUGUCAACAUUGGUACACAGGAUUUGGUGGAGGGAAGGGUAUGUUAUGUGUUCCCUCCUUGAAUGCUGCAGUUUGAUUUAUUUGGAGAAGUUAAGUGAUGAUGUUCAUGGAACUAUCUGUCCUCAAUUCCUCAAUGUAUUGUACAGUGCUUGUUAACUUUGGUACCAAAUUCACAGCGGUUACAACUUUGUACCAAUCUCUAUAUUCUUUAUAUCACCUAUUAGUACGUGCUCCCUAUAUUUUCUUGCUCUUCUCCUAUCUGCUUCUCUACAAAACUACAACAGGCACUUAGUCACCUUCUUGCAUGGACUCAAUAUUACUCUCAGUUCUCGUUUUUUAUCCAAGCAAAUCAUUGAAAACAUCAUGGCUUACACAAACUUAUAUUGUUUUGCAUGCAGCCUCAUUUAGUUCUUGGAUUGAUAUCACAAAUCAUAAAGGUAAACAUUGAACUGAGCAUUGCAUUUUGAUUUUUGGGGCAAUUCAGCAUACAGACUAUCAUCAAACUUCUGGUUCAUUGAAUAAAGAGUUGUUUGUACUUGUCAUCAGAUUCAACUUUUGGCUGAUCUGAACCUCAAGAAGACACCGCAGCUGGUGGAAUUGUUUGAUGACAGCAAGGUAAAUAAGGGCAUUUUGUCAUUGUUUUUUCCUCUGCAUGUUUUGAUUUUUUAAUUCUUUCAGCAUGUUUUCUUGAAACAAAUUCACUUUAACCCCUAUUUUGCAGGAUAUAGAUGAGGUUUUGAGCUUGUCACCAGAAAAGAUGCUACUUCGGUGGAUGAACCAUCAUCUGAAAAAAGCUGGCUACAAGAAAACUGUUAACAAUUUCUCUUCAGAUGUGAAGGUGCAUAUAAUAAACAACAAUGCCACCAAAUUAUCAGUCACUUGUUUAUUUGCUGAUACAUGCCACUUGAUUAUCUUGUCACUGCAUUUGAGUUAUAUUGACAAACUAAAGCUGGUUAUGCACCAUUUGUUAAAGACUACUUUAUUCUACUAUACCCUUAGCUGGAUGCAGUUACCAACUUACCAUCUUAGGCAUAUAGGAGUUAGGAAAAGUGUUAGACUGUGCUUGAUCCAUCAUAAUUGCUUUCUUUUUUUGAUGCUGCUGUGUUUACUUUGAUCAACAACCAUGGUCACACAAGUUAGUUCUAUACAGGAUGGUGAAGCCUAUGCUUACCUUCUGAAAGCUCUUGCUCCAGAGCAUUCCCCUGAAACUACAUUGGAUACCAAGGAUCCGGAUGAGAGGGCAAAACUGGUACUUGAACAAGCGGAGAAGUUGGACUGUAAAAGAUACCUGACCCCAAAGGAUAUCACCGAGGGAUCUGCCAAUUUAAAUCUUGCAUUUGUUGCGCAAAUAUUCCAGCAUAGGUAAAUGUGAUUAACUUUGGUUGCAUAAAAAUUUCAAUAUGUGACUUACCUCACCAAAUCACGUGAGCUAAUUUUCCCUCUGCCACAUUUACAUUAAAAGUUUAGCAGAUAAUCACUAUGGAUUCGACAUUGUCAUCUGAUCCUCACUUGGAUCCUAUUGUCCUAUGCUGCGCAGGAAUGGUCUAACGAGUGACACCAAACAAGUUACGCUCACACAGACGGCAACACGUGAUGAUGUUCUAUUGUCUAGAGAAGAAAGAGCCUUCAGAAUGUGGAUCAACAGCCUUGGGGUUGAAUCAUAUGUAAACAAUGUAUUUGAAGAUGUUCGCAACGGGUAAUAAGACAUUUGAUAGAUUUUAUAUUGAUCUCUAAAUGAGUUUGUUAUUAAUGUCCAUCCUGAUGCAGGUGGGUACUUCUUGAAGUACUUGAUAAGGUUUCUCCUGGAUCUGUCAAUUGGAAGCUGGCAUCAAAACCUCCAAUUAAAUUGCCAUUCAGAAAACUGGAGAAUUGCAAUCAAGUUGUAAAAAUCGGGAAGGAGUUAAAGUUUUCUUUAGUAAAUCUAGCUGGGAAUGAUAUUGUUCAGGGAAACAAGAAACUGAUUGUUGGUGAGUCUGUCCACGUCUAAUUUACCAGUGACACUAAUGGAUCACGCUCUUAAUAUUUAUUUGUAGCAUCAUAUAACUGAAUUCUUUGGUGUUGUCUUUCAGCACUUUUGUGGCAAUUGAUGAGAUUCAAUAUCCUUCAGCUGUUAAACAAGCUAAGAUUCCAUUCCCAAGGGUCCCAAGGAAAAGAAAUUACUGAUGCUGAUAUUCUAAACUGGGCCAACAGCAAAGUGAAAGCAUCAGGAAGAACUUCUCGAAUGGAAAGUUUCAAGGUGCUUCAAUGUCCACUGACUGAAGUCCUAUUUAUUUGUCUGAAAACUCUGGUUGCUUAGUUUCCUAUAUUCCCCUACAGGACAAGAGCUUAUCGAAUGGAUUGUUCUUCCUUGAGCUUCUUAGCGCAGUACAGCCAAGGGUUGUGAACUGGAAAGUUGUUACUAAGGGGGAAGCUGGUCUGUUCUCAGCCCUCAGCCCAUAUGCAUUCAGUUGACUAUUGGAUAGCCUUAUUUCUGACUAAUCAUUUUGUGUUCUCCACAAUUGACUUCAAAACUAAAUCAUAACUAAUCUACAAUCUGUUUUUUUCAGAUGAGGACAAGAAGCUGAAUGCUACCUACAUCAUUAGUGUUGCUAGGAAGCUUGGAUGCUCUGUAUUUCUGUUGCCAGAGGACAUCAUAGAGGUAAACUGCUAUUGCUAGUAAAUACAUUACAUGUUAAUGUAUCUGUUUAAUGUGCUGUUUAUUCUCUCUUUCUAGAACAAUGAUGCUGAUUCUCACUUGGGAAUUGUUAUUUAGCCAUUACAUUAUGGAUUCACGUUCUUACGAUCUUACCGGUUCAACAGGUGAAUCAGAAGAUGAUCCUUACACUUACCGCUAGCAUUAUGUAUUGGAGCCUACAGAAACAACCUCAGUCACAAUCUGAAAUGCCAGAGCAAUCAGAGCCAUCUAGCAUGACUUCAGAUGCAGCCUCUGAUAUUGCCUCGGAGGAUGGAGCUUCAACGACUGCGCCAUCUGAGUCCGAAGAGGUGAACUCGCUGUCUGAUAGCAUGUCCAAUUUGACAACGGAUGAUGCUACUUCGAACGCCCCAUCUACCGAAAAUGGAAAUGGUGUGGCAGGAUCCUGAUGGUUAUGCAGCUGCAGUUCUUUUUCCACAUAGUCCUGGUUUUUAAUAGAGGGAAUAGUGCUUUCGUUUCCCAAAGUCUUCGCUACCAGAAGUGAUUUUUUUUACUACUUCUGCAUCCUGUGUAUGGUAGCUUGAUAGAUACAACAAAUGCAGAUAGAUAUAGAUGCCGUUUGUUCAUUGGAUUCGCUUCAUAUCUUACUAUAGGGGAAAAAAGAUAUAGUAUAUGCUGCUGGAUGGGUAUUUUUUGUAUUGCUGGUAUACACCCAUGAAAAUCUUAUGUGCUUCUGUAUCUGGUCGGUCAAUUCGUUCAUCUGUUCCUUGGACUAGUAGUCAUUAUGUACUACUUGGUGGCCAUCAUCUAUUGUAAUGCGUUGGUAUUCUGAUGAAACAUGCCUGUACAUAACAUACUUUAAAAAGGUUUUGCCCUGCCCAGGAUUUUUUUGUAAAUACUGUUCUUUUUUCGUUCUUUUGCAUGCGAUUUGCAUAGUUCAACCUGAGAGCUCGAUUUGAUUCGACUGUUUACCUUGCAGUCAUUUCAGGUCCAAUUCAAUUCCCGUUUUAAUAUCAUUUGCAGUAGCCAAAAUGAGCAACUGCAUCGAUCACGCUUCUUUCAUCUGUGAUGACUGUUUCCUCAUGCGAACGCCAUUCCGUGCGUUGAGUUUCGUGCUUUUUUCCGCCGGUGAAACACGAUGACGAGAUGACUUCAGUUAUAUUUUCUUUUUGAAUGAUCUCAGUUGUUGAGCAUCAUUAUGCAAGUUGAUUCUAGGUAAGUACUUGCAGGGCUAAGCACUUGAAGAGGCAGGCUUAGAGGGGUAGCUCCCUGCCAUCACUCAGUACAAAGCUGCCUGGUCCCCUACUGCUACUCAAUUCCAUCAUUGCCUCCCCCCCUCUCCCUUCUUUAACUACACAACUCUCUCUUCUCAAGGCCCGGGCACUAUGCAAGUCAAGCCCGAAGCCGUGGCCCCCUCCGUCGUCUCCGCCAUUGCCAUCUCCGCCGCCGCCGCCUACCCAUCAACGCAGAAAGGUGGAGGGGAACAGCGGGGCAUGAGAGCGCGGCGGUGAUCAAGGAGUUUACCGGCCUACACGUAUCGGCGUCGCGGCAUACAAGGGCAGACCAGGCAUUCGAUUUCCUUCGUAUAUUACUCCUAGUUCAGUUGUACUAGCUAGCAAUCAUUCAUUCUCUUUCUCUUGCUUGCUUAGUUUUGGCUUCCGCAACAACGACAUUGUAUUGCUGCAGAGGGCUGUGAAUAAUCUCGCAGUUUUUUCCGGAUGGUUGGUGUUGCCUACUUGCCUUGGUUGAUCUGUGGUCGGUUCCUUGGAGAAACACACUUUCUCUGAACUGGAUGAGUGCUUCCUUCUGAGCUGUAACGUAACGAGUUUUCUCUAUGUGUUGCCUCUUGCUUCUGCCUUGCAAUCGACGUCCAAAACGCGGCGGUAUAUACAGUAGUAUAUAUAAAUGAAGUCCUGUGCCUUCUCCAUUUGCAUGUUUGGUACGUCGCGCAACAUUGUUCACCACUGCGCCUAUCCGGACUCAAACAGCUCGUUCUUGGUAGCAUCUAGCAUUGCUAGAUGGAGGAAAUUGAAUCUGCGGGAUCUCUGUAUAACAUACCAAAACGACAGUGGAGCUGCUGUACUUCGUUCACUUCCCAAACAGUGCCCCUCUGUGUAUAUCACCCCCGCCAAAUCAGUGUCGUCGAAAAUCUUCACCUGAUCGAGCACCAGGCCGCAUUGGCAAGCACCUGAUUUGGUUCCUCCGCAUCUGCACGACAACGGUGGCGUCAUCCUCGCGCCUUCUGCCUGUUCUUCGGCGAGCAUCCGGGGCCGUAUGGCCUCUCCGUGACCCUGAGAACGCCUGACCGACGUCAACGCCGGGCACAGUACACGUGCACGAGCAUCGCUCUCAUGAUCACUGUCCCGCUCGCUGGCGGGCUCACCAGUCGCUGCACGCCUGCGGACGGAGCGCUGGAACGGCUGGCACCGGGACAGCACUUGCCCUGCUUGUGCUUGGCUUUGUUUAUCAAUCGCGCUCCGGCCGCGUCCCACCAAAGACCCGCACAUGCAGUCGUCGCUGUCUGGUUCUCCCAUAAAUCGUGGUCGGCCCGCUGGCGCCGCUCGUGCAGACAACGCAGGACCGGGCCGGGGCCUGUUCGCUCCCCCACAGUGCUCGCGGCCAGGGAGACGACACGGUGCCGAGCCGACGCGAGCGGCGGCAACCUCGGCCUGCGACUGCGCUGCCCCUGCGAGGCUGCGAGCGUGUACUAGGCGUGUAGCCCGCCGGGCCAGCACCCGGUUUUCGGGCGUGGUGCUGGCUGCUGGGGGCAUUUGGCAAGUUCCGUCUCACGCAUCGCAUCGCAUCGCAUGCUGCAGCCGAGCGAUCGAGCAGCUCGCCGCUAGAUGCCAACGCAAGAUUGGCGUCCUCGGUUGGGGUUAGCAAGCGCUCGACGGGACGCCUCGAGGGCCGAGGGGUGGUGUACUGGUAUCCAAUGGCUCUGGCGAUCGGCGCCUGCUUGGCCCGUUUCGUGGAGUUGUCAUCGUCCGGGCGGGGCUGCGCGGCGCGAUCGCGUCGCGUCCCGCGUCCGCGCGUGCGUGGGUGGGUGACUGUUUCCUGUGGCUUGGUGGAGUGUGCCGAGCGCCCCCUGUUGGGGAUCUUGCCAGCAGGGCCCCAAGAUUGACGCGGCUGGCAUCGCGCCCGAGAGGGAGGGGGAUUGGAGAUUUUGCGGUGCCAUGGCAUUGGCAUGGGGUGUGGUGCGAUGCGAUGCGACCGGGCGGAGCAGGGUUGACCCUGUUGGAUUUGAGCGGCAGGGUGGGGGGACACGCGACAGGCUCAGGCGCUAUUGAAGUGGUAGCACAGUAGCAAGGGGUACUGUUCAAGUGGUAGCGCUGUUGACACUAUUGGAACUGUACCUCUAUCUCGAGAUGGAUCGGACGGUCCGCGAUGGUCGGAUCUAGACGUCUUUGCUUUCUUCCAAAUCAAGUGUCCUUGUUUUUCUCUAUAAUUUUUGUAUCCAAAAAACGGCCGAUUGGGCAAUGUAGGUUUCCAGCGGGCCAGGGUCGGCUAAUGAUACAAUCCACAUUAGUGUGGCCCAGUGGCCCUUGUCUUUCAACUCGACGACCCAACCAAAAAGAUACAGAGAACAGGCUGCAUGCCGACCCACGAGAGGCCCAGUACAUGCUGAUGGCCAGUCUAUGACUGCAGUGCUGGUGCAUGCUAAUUCCAGAUUUCCAGUUCGUUCCCUAGCUGCUGACAGUGUUGCUAAUUAUGGUGUUAGAAUACGUAGUUCCAAACUGUGCUUGUAAUCCGUUUCAAUUAUCUCUUCUAAACAUGAAUUGGCAGAGCUGCGUGCUGCCGUUGACCAGUGACCAGCCUGGGAGAAGCAAGCCUCGCCACGGGCGGCCACGUCAUUCGCUGGCGUAGCAGCACUUACGGCAUCGGUGUAUGUUUGCAAGGCUUGCACGCCGUGCGUAGCGAGAGAGAUGACUCUUAUUCUAACUCUGGUCGGAUAAGACAAGGGACUGAUCGAUUAGGAGAGCUUCGUGACAGUGGCCCUAGGCGUUGCUUUAUGAAAAAUGUUUCACGUGAAGUUAACCAAUCACGUAUUUUGGUAUACGUUCAGCAAAUUCAAGGCAGCGUACACUGUCAAGACUUGCGAGAUGUACUCGUUGGUACGUCAAGACUCGUGAAUAUUGUUAGAUUUGAAGAAUGCCAAUUCGACAUUUAAGAUGCAAACCAAACACCUGAAAUGGCAUUUAGACUCCGUUAGGGUCUUAGGGAGGGUAUCUUCCUUUUAAGCUUCACAGGCUUCAUAAAUCGGAACUCUACCAAAAGGCUCUUAAUGCAUCACUCUGUCCAACCAAACAAAACCUAUGAUCCCACCUCUAGUGCCCCAUUAACGUUACCAAUCCCGGAACCAAUCGCUAUCUUAGUAUUGGAGUCUGCUUGUAACAUGUUUCAAUUCUCUCCUCCAACGUGAAUUGGCAGUGUUUUUUAGAAGAAGAAAAAAGGACUAGCUCCUGACCAGCCGGAGAGAAAAGCGAGCUUCGCCACGGCUCUCCGUCGCGUCAUCCGCUGGCGUAACAUCACUUACGGCAUUAGCGUAUGCUCGCACGGGACGCACGCCGUGCAUGCCGCAGCGAGAGAGAUGGCUUAUUUUAACUUUUGCUUCGAUAAGACGAGGUACAGAGCGACUGGGAGAGCUCCAACCGUUUCUGUUAAAAAAAAAGUACUCGGUCGUACGUGCUCGUGUGAGACAAGUAGUCGAGCACGAGCAGGGAAAGUGACCGAGCUUUGGUUAAACUCCCCCCGGGCCUCCGCCGCGUCAUCUCUGCUGGCGUCGCAGCGCUUACGGCAUCGAGUGCGUUCGUUCGCCUAAGUCGGCAUCUCUCGCGGGCACGGUUAAAACGGCGUCCCCGCGCGCCCGGCGACACGGUCACAACCGACGUCGUUCUCGCGUGUUUUUAGAUAGUUGUAAUCUUACAAGAGCACAAGUUGUAUACACUUCUAUGCAACCUACAUCCUACGCUUAUACUCACAUGCCUAUCUUGAAGCGAUGGUCUUGGAUAUCAGUUUUCAGUACGUGUUGCCCGGUUCCGGAGGGGUUCGAACCUGGGACCUCCUGAGCCUGGUGCUACCUGAGCUUCCGGUGACCAACCGAUCCCCAGGCCCAUUCACUCAUUCUCGCGUGUUAGAAAAAGUCGCCGUUAUGAUAGGGGCCGAUGGACGCUCGAUGGGUGGAAUCGUCUGGCCUCAAGCAAGCGGUAGUGUAGUGCUAGUACUAUGGUGAUUGGUGAUGGAUGCCUAAGUAACUCCAAAAGCUCCUUAAAACAGCUCAAAAAUCUGAUUUAGGGAGAAAAAGAAAAAAUGUAUGCUCCAACAUGUCCUUCAACCUUACCAAAAAAAUACGACCACCCAAAUGUGAGAGCUCGGCGCUUUCCCAAUCACUGGAUGAGUGGAACCGGACACCGCGCAUCAACUUCCUGCGGUGUACCUGGACGCCGUGAUCGCGGUAUGCUUUGUCGCCGCGAGCGCGGUGGCGUGGCUGGCCGAUUUCGUCACGUUGCAGCCAUUCGACGCACCUCGAUAGGGACGCGUGGGUUGCCACCUCCGUGCGCGUAGUUACAGUUGUUUGAAUUAAUCGUCCACAUGGAGUGGUACUACAAAAUUACCACGCAAACUCUCCCCUCACAUCCUCCUUCUUCGCCGCUGCCUGAUGGUGAUAGAUGUCGAUCAUGAUCGGGCAUAGUGUGCGACGUUCAUCCAAUCCACCUGGACGCGUGCAGUUCUUCAUCAAGAUGCAGAUGGAGCUCACCAAGGCCACCGGCUGCGAUGCCAUGCCGCGGUCACGAGAACGGGUAUGACCGCGGAGGUAGGCAACACAAACUCUACCGCUAGCCCAACUGAGAGGCCCGCAACUGCUGACAUGGCAGUUUUGAAGUAUUGUGAAAUUUAUUGUUAGGGAUCUGCUGUGAGGUGACGUGAUUUUGAGAAAAAAAUUUAAUAGAAUUCUAGUAGAUAAUUUUGAAGAAUUUUAUUUUUGAAAAACUCUUGAAGUUGCUCUAUGCUGCUGUCAUUUCCCCGCGAGGGAAGGAAUCUAAUUUCCUGCCAUCGCGACCAUUGUUGGUCCACAACCGCAGGUCUCGAUCGGGGCCAGGGGAGCGCACGCCUAAAACAACGGCGGCACGCGCGCGGCCACGUGGGAACGACGCGAGCAUGGGCCCAAGUCAGUGCUAGUGUGACUGUAGACUGAGACAUCGCGCGCGCGGAGCUUCGUGGUCACAUGACAUGAUUGUCCCGGACUCCCGGUGAGAGCUUGCAGCGUGAAAAACACAACGCAUCUCCCCUCUGCUUGAGAAUCGGAACGCACCCUCAGAAUCCCGGACUCCACGAGUAUGCGCACACGCUCCUCCCCUUUUGGGCUGCGUAAUGAACAUCACUUACAUCAGGGGGGAAAAGAAGUUUAACGGGAUGCCUUUCUAGCUCAUGGCAUAGCCGCAUAGGUCCUGGGCUAGUGGCUGGUCUCUCGCGUCCCACGCGUACGUUUUAAUUAACAGUACACAUGGUUGGUGCGAAGCACCACUCAUUCGAACGACACUCAUCUGCAGCUGCUGCUUUCACUCAAAGAAAAUCGCUAUGCAUCCUAAGACGUCGGACUCACAUACGACCAUGUUUGGUCUAUGGGCGCCCGGCACGGCACGUGAACCUCCGUGACAUUGAUGUGAGAUUGCCUGGCUCAGAUCAAUCAAGGUGGAAGGGUAUGAUAUAUGAGAGGUCAGAGCUUAUAUUCGGUGUCUAGAAGAAAUCUUCAAAAGGUACCAACGAAAGAAACAAAGAUCCGUUUUUUUUUUGUGUGGUUGCUACUUGCUAGUAGAGUCUAACCUGGGCUGGUCAUCAGAGAUCAACAUGCAUCGGCGUUUGUUGGUCGAAUAGACUAAACGCCUCACUUAAGUCAGAAUUAUAGGAAGUAUAGAGUCACACUACUUGACAAAUCAGAAGACAACUCAUGGUAUAUGUUAUCUAUUAAGUUGUUGAGUUUACGUUGGAUGAGACCAAUAUACACUACGGCAGAAAACAUCUACCUAGCAGCUAAAAUAUAUUUGGCGGGUUUUGCACCCGCCAACAACUUUCUAUCAGUACAAAUGCGAUCUGCGCUGGCGGGUGCUUGACCGUCACCACUGCACUGGCGGAUGCUUAAGAAACCCGCCAGCAAAGAUAAUUUUAGAAAAAAAAAAGCCGAACAUAGGCGCUCGUCCGUCAGCAUCAUGGCCGCGCGCGCCGCCUCGUGUUGCAGCUCAUGUCGUCGUGAGCCCCGAGGCAGACCUUCUUGGCUCUGGACUCCACCGCGUGCGCCCGCCCCAGAGUGCCGCCGCGUACGUGCAGCGACUCAGCCUACACCUCUGCGCCAUGCGCCAGCCGCGAAUCUCCACGCGAGUGCGCCAAGCUCGGAGGCGGCAGCGAGCCUCUUAUGCCUCCUUCCCCAACCAGAGUCAACGCCGAGCGUGUAGACCCGCGUAGAGCUCGGCAGUGGCGGCAUGCCUCUGAUGCCUCCUUCCCUAAUCGGAGCGGUAGCCAGCUGUAGCAGCGGCCAAGGACAUAAGCAGCAGGGUCACCUCAUCAGCAGUUCGCUUCAUCCCCGGUGCGCGUCGGCAAUCACCCUCCACAUCCUUGCCAACCUGAGCAACGAAUAUGAAUGAAACAAAAGUGCUGCAAUGAUUUUGUUUUUGAUCAUCUACUACAAUUAAUUUCAGUGCCGCUGUUCUUGCAAGAUUGAGCACGUACCUUGGACGAGCUGCAUGAGCAGCGGCAGAAGCUCGCCAUCGCGCACCGGAGCUGCCCAUGGGUCCGCCGGCCAUAGCGCCUCUGCCCGUGUUGUCGCAGCUGCCUGUGGCUCCAGCCGACGUGGCUCGUGCCCGCACCAGACACCAAUGUGGGGCCAUCGCUCAGCCAUCUGCAACUUGCCGACGCAGCACGCGCCGGCCACCGCUCCAUCGUUUGAGUCAGCCACAGCUUCACUGUGGAGACAGAGAUAAGCAAGAGAAGUGUGCAGUGAAAGUGAUGAGGUUGAGCAAUGCAAAGAGAUAAUGUAGGGAUGGAGCAGAGGCACCGGGUGGAGAUAAAGUCUGUUUGCUUCGCUAGCUUGGUGUCAUUUGUGCUGGCGGGCCACCUACAGCACAGAUGCAUCCCAUCUAUGCUGGAGCCUAGCGGCCUCGAUCACCUUUGUGCUGGUGGGUGCCAAUUUCGUCCAGCAGCAUACUAAUUUCAACGUGACAGCACAUAUCGUUUCUGACGGUACGAUAAUUAUCUUAAUUUUAGAAUUCUCAUCCUUGUACGCGAACUUAACCUCCCAGUAAAAUCAUCUUGCACAACCUGUUUAGUGUUCACCUCCGUCUCUCUAGCGACAAGAAAAUCGCUCGAUGCCCCGUGCCCCGUCACGCUAACGUAGUUAGCUCCACCAGGCCCAUCACCGUGAUCCCCCUGCCCAUCCAGCGGUCCUCCAUCGCCCGCUUUCUGCCCCCACCGUUCGUGUCUGUGCUCCCGCGCUCACCACCGCCACGAAUUAACCUACCUCUCGUGCUCCCGAGCUUCCUUUAAGAGGAUGUUUGAAUCCUGAAGCUAAAGUUUAGUCUUUAUCAUAUCGAAUAUUCUGGCUAAUUAGGAGGACUAAAUAUAAGUUAAUUAUAAAACUAAUUACGAGGCUAAGCGGCGGGACGAAUCUAUUAAGCUUAAUUAAUCCAUCAUUAGUAAAUGGUUACUGUAGUAGCACAUUGUCAAAUCAUGAACUAAUUAGACUUAAUAGAUUCGUCUCACCGUUUAGCCUCCAUAUGUGCAAUGGGUUUUAUAAAUAGUCUAUGUUUAAUGCUCCUAGUUAGUAUCUAAACAUUCGAUAUGACAGGGAUUAAAGUUUAACCCCCGCCAGAUACCAGUGACCCCCGCCAAAUCUCAAGCGUGUCGGGGAGCUCGUUGGAGCUUCAUCACCAGAGUGUAAGAAAAAAGCCUCAAGCGCAAAUCACGACUCAAAUCUGGUGGUUACAAAAUCUAGUGAGAAACACCCGAUGCCAAUCAGCUUACCCGACAAGAAAAAAUAAAAUACAUUAUUAAAUACUCCGUUUGUUUUAAAUUGCAAAUUUAUAAUUUUUUUAUGUAUAGACAUACUUAAAAUAACCGGAGGGACCAGCUUUGAUUGACGGCCGGCUGACUCAUGUUGGCCAAUCCUGAAUGACCAAUAAUGUAGCAAUGUCACACGUCCAGUGCACGAGUCGUUGCUCCAGUGUUACAAUGGUGUAUUAUACGAGUGGAAUGAACUACCACUCCUAAGAAGCGCGCGUAGAUUUUUCGUAAAAUGAUAUUUUGAGUCUGUGGCUGGUACCAGCUUAAUGCUUCGAACGCAAGGACCAGUGAGAAAGGGCCCAGCUGGAUACGGAGAACACCACGCGGCUCCACCGGAUUGGGGAGCACCAAAGGCGUACGCUCAAGCUACGUGAGUUUGGACUCACUCUCCUUUCAGCUACUGCCAGGCGCCUAUAAAUUGGGGAGCUCUACUGACCGUGCUCUGCAACCACAACGUGCCACAGCUAGCGAGAGUAGAAGUGAUAAGCAAACAAGUUUGCCACUGCUCAGCACCUGGCCGUUAGCGCAGCCAUGAAGGUAGAGCGCGACCUCCACAUGAGCCGGGGCAACGGCGAGACCAGCUACGCCUCCAACUCCAGGCUUCAGGUCUGUGAGCUUCUGCAUCAGCAUCUGUAACCUGUAGACUGCAGUAUGCAUGGCUGAAUGCCUGAAUCAUACGCAUGUUAGUAUGAUGUUAAAAAUGCAUGUUAAUAUGAUGUUAGCAAUGCAAAACAAGGAAGAAAUUGCACUUGUGCAUGCGUGUUAAUUGUAGUUGUUCUUCAGGAGAAGUCCAUACUGAAGACGAGGCCCGUGCUCCACGAGGCCGUGGCGGCGGCGCACGCGGCGUCGCUCUCCUCCGCCGCCGGCGCGAUGGUCGUCGUGGACCUCGGCUGCUCGUCGGGGCCCAACACGCUCCUCGUAGUCAACGAGGUGCUCGGCGCGGUCGCCGACCGCCGCGAGGACCUGAUGAUGGGCGGCCAGCAGCCGCCGGUGGUGCAGCACGUGCAGUUCUUCCUGAACGACCUCCCCGGGAACGACUUCAACCUCGUCUUCCAGUCCCUGGAGCUGUUCAAGAAGCUGGCCGCCGCCAAGGAUAAGGGCGAGUCCCUGCCGCCGUACUACAUCGCCGGGCUCCCGGGGUCCUUCUACACCAGGCUCUUCCCCGACCGCUGCGUCCACCUCUUCCACUCCUCCUACUGCCUCAUGUGGCGCUCCAAGGCACGCACAGUUUUAACCAAUCAACCGACCGGCCCGAGCACUUCUGAUGACAUAGCUCUAUUCGUGUGUGUCUAAUAGGUUCCUGAUGAGCUCGCGAGAGGCACGGUUCUGAACGAAGGCAACAUGUACAUCUGGGAGGCCACGCCGCCCUCGGUGGUGAAGCUGUACAGGAAGCAGUUCCAGGAGGACUUCUCGCUGUUCCUCAAGCUGCGUCACAAGGAGCUCGCGUCGAACGGACAGAUGGUGCUGACGUUCCUGAGCAGGAAGAACAAAGACGUGACGCAUGGCGAAGUCAGCUACAUGUGGGGGCUGCUCGCGCAGGCUCUCCAGUCCCUAGUCAAACAGGUUUGUCAUUUGCGCAACAUUAUCGUCAACUGCAGAUGAUCUGUGUAGAUCAAUCCAUCACUCAUGAACUCAGCCCUAGAUAAUCUUCAAAAAGUGACAGUCUGACAGAGACCUGAACCAUGGAUCUUGCAUUCUUCUUGUUGCGUGGCAGGGCCGUGUGGAGAAGGAGAAGCUGGACUCCUUCAACCUGCCGUUCUACGCGCCGUCGGUCGACGAGGUGAGGGACGUGAUCAGGCAGAGCGAGGCGUUCGACAUCAACCACAUCCAGCUCUUCGAGUCCAACUGGGAUCCCCAUGACGACCUGGACGACGGCGACCUCGUGCUCGACAGCGCCCAGAGCGGCGUCAACGUCGCCCAGUCCAUUAGGGCCGUGAUCGAGCCCCUGAUCGCGCACCAUUUUGGCGACCACAUCCUCGACGAUCUCUUCGAGGUUUAUGCAAGGAACGUCGCCAAGCACCUCCAGAAAGUGAAGACCAAGUACCCUGUCAUCGUCGUUUCCUUGAAGGCGAGACGCGCGCCAAAGUGCCAUGCGAAUGACAGGUGUCACUCGUUCACACACGGUCAGUUUGUGUAGGAUCUGGUGUCAAUGUUACUUCUACUAUAUACAGCAAAUUAAAGUGCAGAGAAAUAAGACGAGGUUGUUGUAUAUCGAUAUAAGAAAAUGAUGAAGUAGUUAAAGGGACUGUCAGUGGCAGAGAAUAGUUCCUCAACUACGUCCUUUGGAUUUAUUAGAUGGUUCAGUGUUUCCAAAAAUUCGAUGUAUGUAUCCGGUUAGAUAUGUGCUGUAAUCUUAUGUGGAAUUGAAGCAAAUACGUUUCGAUGAUUUGGGUCUACUCUUGUACACCUAGGUAGUAUCUUGUUCACUGAUUUUGGGUCAAUGCAUGAGUACCAAAGAGAUGCGGAGAAAUGAAGUACUUCUUUCUUUCAAAAGAAAAAAAAUGCAAUUCUAAAUUUAUCCUAAGUAAAAUAUUUUUAAAUUUGGUAAGUUUAUAAAAAAUCCAAAUAUUUUACGUGGAAGUGAAGUAAAUAUUUUACAAUGAUUUGGUUCUACGCUUUGUUUGGUGAUUUUUUGUCAAUGCAUUAGUGAAGAGUAGCAAAGAGAUGCAGAGAAAUGAAGUGCUUCUUCCAUUAAAAAAAAGAAUCUAUUCUAAAUUUGUUCUAAGUCAAACAUUUACAAGUUUAAUCAAUUUUGAAAAAAAAUCAAACAUUCAUGAUACCCAAUAAGCUUCAUUGAAUCUACCAUGAAAUAGAAUUAGUAUUAAUACUCUUCUCUAAAUUUUGGUCAAAUGUAAGAUAGUUUGACUUAGGAUAAAAAUAGAAUUACAAAUUAUACCAUCAAAGUUGUACGUCUUGUGCCCUCAAUGACUAAAUUAGGUCAGUACGCGCAUAAACUCCACCAAGAAAUCCUUCAUCACAUUGUACAAUCUUCAGCGUCAGAGAGGCUAUACGAUAAGUAGCCCAAAGGCCAACGAGAAAUCAUCAGUCAUCGUCUCAUCGAGUAACAUCAAUCAAAACACAUCAGGAGCAUCUGCUGCCUGCACCUGACGCACUCAAAGUCUGAAACCACAACGUCUACUGAAACUGUCAAUUUCCGAUUUGCCAUCCAAUGUUCAGACUUCCAUCCAGCUUUCUUCAGCCCUUUGUGACAGAAUGAAACCAUUUCUAAUCCGAUCAGAUCAGCAUCACCUUCAAUCCUCACACAGCAUACACCCCAAAAAUGAAAAAAGAACCUGCGUGGACUCUGUUGCCUCCCUUCCCUUCGACUGAGCUUGUACUGCAGAUCACGGGUAGCACGAAGCCGCAUGGUGUCUCUGUGGAGCUAGGAAGGAAUCCUUCACCGUCACUCUGCACAAUUGGCGUUGCCCUGUGGAGCGGAAAAAACACCAGGGCCCAGACCAUCGCUCGCCGGCGAUCGAACCGCCUGCCACUGCUUCGCCCGCGCCGCCGCAACACCGGCGCGGCGCGGACGCCAGCGCCUGGCUGCCUCAUCGAGGCUUCAAAUCUGAGGUAGUGGGGGAUUAUCCUCUCCGUAUCCAUUUCUGCAGCAUCUCCAGCUCCGCGUCCGCCGCGGCGGAGGCUCGCCGGAGCUCCGCCGCCGAGAUCCACCUUUUUUCACUUUACCCCUGAUUUGGAUCGCGACCAUUAAUUGCGAUCCGAUUUGUUCCACUUUAGACCCUGUUUUUUUAUACUUUACCCCUAAACUUUACAGAUCACCCCUCCUGCCGCUCCAUCGUUCUCCUCGUCCUCCCGCCGCCGGCGCGCGUUCGCCGCCGCCCGCCCGGCGUCGACCGGCGCAUCAGACGCACAACGAGCGGCUAUUCAGCGGGACAUUUUUUUAGGCGCCGCUUCCGUCGCCUGAUUAAUGAUAAUUUUUCGAGGAACAACCCUCAUCUACAUCGUGCGGAUGGCUUGGGCAGUUCUCCCUCCAUUCCCACCACGCACCCUUCUUUUCGGUACGCCGGCGCCGGGGCGCUCCUCGAGCUUCUGUUCGCUGUCGCUUCUGGGAGGCGUCAUUGCCGUCGUCGGUGAAGGAGGUCCAGGCGUCCAGCUUCCACGAGCCGGCGAUCCAUGGUGUAAUUCAAGCCGGUCUCUGGUUUGCAGUACUUCACAGCCACGAGUCCACGAGGAGUCUGGAGCAGGUCCUCGAAGUAAACCUCCAUCACAGUUUCAUCAUACAGGCAGGGUGUUCUCUGAAAGAAGUCACCUUAACAAUGGCGCUCAAAGUUGAUUCGAUGAUUGUUUUAUACUCAGGCUUUACAACAGACAAUUUCUGCUGAGGGUAUCGCCACUUCAUGAUCUAUCAGCAAGGUGUCUGCUAGCACCAGUAUCGGCAUUAAUGGUGCUGGAUUUGUCCUCAAAAGUUUGAAACUCCUCCAGCCAAACGACCUGAUAAAAGAAAAAAAAAG